AAAAAAAAAAAAAAAAGAGAAUUCCCAUGUUGCAUUCUUUGAAAAUUGUUAAUGACACAUUGAGCAUUUCCACUUUGUCACUCUUUUAAAGUUUAGCAGAGUUUCAAGUAAUUCCAGCAAUCUCUGUCAUCAAAUCCUCGUGCUGCACCGCCAAAUAUUGAAGGAACCCUCGCUGUCCGAAGAUUCUCCCUACUGAAUGCCUCAGUCAAAUCUUUAGCUGGCAUCUGUCUAUUGCCACACAUACGCACCCUCUUCGCAGGAGCUACAAGUUUCUGGUUGUAGUCAUUUGAAAACUUAGUUAUCACCCAUUUAUUUAAGUUUUCAAUUGUAAGAACUCGCAUAUAUGCCUUGCAACCGCUUACACCUGUGCUGCAAUUUCGAGAUAGUUUUGUCAACUCCAUCUAAUAUUCUAUCUUUCUUUCUUUUUUUCAUCUCACGUGAGCAUACUAAUUACAUGCUAGUAACUUCAUCAACAUGAGAACAAGUUUUAUUCGUUGAUCGAAUUCGUAUAGAGAAACCAAUGCUUCGACCAUGAUUUUUGUAACACAGACAAAUCAAAAGCCAUCCCCAUAUGCAACAAAUUAAUACCUUCACUGUUUUUAUCUGGAUUUGAAGUUUCAGCCUAUGAUAAAACUUCUAAUACUCAUUUCUAUAAGAAAAUUAAUUUUUGCUUGUCAAUAAAAUGAAGAAGACAGUAAAUUAAGAAAAUUAUUUCUUGCUUAUCAAUAAAGUGAAGAAGACAAUAAAUUAAAGUAGAAACAAUAAAAAAGAUACUAAUUUACUAUUUUACUUGCUCAAGUUUUUUUGUUUAUUUUGUAUUUUCUUCAUCCCGCAAAUAAUUUAACUUUCUUAAGAUUUGCAGUAGUUAGUAUUCUUUAUAAUCUCGAUGCAGAAAGAAACGUUUUUGAUAGUAUAAUCUCCUUGAGGAAGGAAGUAUAUCAAGAGUUAGGGUUCUCUCUCUUUCCAUUUUUUUUUUAAAUUUUAAUAUGUCACCUGUUAUAAAAUCUAUUAAUUAAGAGCACAACCAUAUAGUAAGAGAAAGAAAGAAAGCAAAUAAGAGACAUAAUGUGUGUAGAGAGAAAUUUUAUUCAAUCUCUUGUGUGUUAUCCACACUUCUAAGUGUAUACAAAUAAGGAGCAAAAGUCUCCUUUUAUAGUGAUACAACCAUAAAGUAGUAAGUAAUACAUCAUAAUUAUGAGAGACAACAAUCCUUAAAUUAAGGAGAUAAUGGGAGUUAUAAGAGAUGAAAAGUUACUUGUGAGGAAAAAAAAGGUUAUUUUGAUGAACAUCCACAUAAAUUAUAAUUAUUUCAUAACACUCCCCCUUAGAUGUUUUAAUACAUCAUAAUUGUAAGAGACAACAAUCCUUAAAUUAAGAAGAUAAUGGGAGUUAUAAGAGAUGAAAAGUUACUUGUGAGGAAAAAAAAGGUUAUUUUGAUGAACAUCCACAUAAAUUAUAAUUAUUUCAUAACACUCCCCCUUAGAUGUUUAUCUUACAAAGAAUAUGCCUCAUUAAAACCUUUGCUAGUAAAAACCCUAUGGGAAAAAAAAAACAAGCGAAGGAAAAAGAGUACAUUAUUCAUUUGUAUUUUAUGGAGGUGCAAACUGCCUCAUUAAAACCUUACUGGGAAAAACCCAAUGGGACAAAAGCCCAAUGAAGGAAAAAGAGUACAGUGCAUGUAGUCCUCCGUAUAAAUAUGCUCCCCCUCAAAUGACAUGGAUGCUUCAAAGAUCAAUCAUAAUUUGUUGUAAUUUACAAUAUUUUGGUGAAAUAAUCUGCAAGAUCAACACCAUCCUUUUGAAGCUUGAAAAGAUGUAAUAAAUUAUAGAUACAAUCAUCUUGAAUUUGAAGAAUAUUGCCAUGCAUAUAUCUUUAUAAUCUUGUUGAUCUUCUUAAAUAAAACUAAGGUUUUGCAUCCAUAUCAUGGAAAGAGUGUGAUAUACUUUUCACACUAUUUUGAAAUUUUCAAGUAUAUGCUGAGCAUAAUUUAAUUUACAAUUAUGGAACUUUCUAAUGUCUUUAUAAGCACAAUUUUGAGUAAGUAUGGUUUUCGGGACCAAGACAUAUACAACAUAUUUUAAAGUAGAAUAAUUUUGAAUAUGAAAUACUUCUAGUAUUUCUAUAUAUCAGCAUUCUACUUCAUAAACUUCAAUUCAUAAUUUGAGAGAAUUCUUUUAUUGCAAGAUCUUUAAUCUUGAAUUGUAUUCUUAAAAGAAAUAAGUUCAUAACCUCUUCAAGAGUCUUUUCAUGAUGAAAUCAUCAACACAUUGUGCAAAGAUUGCAAAUUUAAUUUUCAAUCACAUAGCAAAGUGGAUAAUGACAUAUCCCACUUAUAAUAAAUUCACUCAAGUGAUUGUACUUUCGUAAGUUUAUAUUGCUCUAAUAUACACAACUAUAAUUAUAACUUUAUCAAGAACAUAUAAAGUGCAAGCUUUUUCAUUUGGUACUUUUAGUUAUCCUUCAGGGAUAAGUGCAUAGAUUCUUCAAUUUGAUUUUUGACGCACUAUAGUUCAUAUUCAUAUUUUAUCAAUAAAGUUUACGACUUCAGGCGUAUGGACUGCAAGUCCAAAAUUCUUUAUGUCUUGCUAAUUAAUUAUACAUCUUCUGGCAUAUAGACUACAGGUCCAAAUUUUCACCAAUCAUAUAAAUUGACAUUCUUUCGUUAUUUUGUGAUUUAGGAUCUUGGAUAUUUUAUUAUGAUAACUAAACUUUUACUAACAAUAAUUUUAUGUCAAUUUCAAAUUUUCUCUUGUACCAAGUACCAACAUAAUAUUGAUCAAAUACCUUUUAUUUUGCAAUAUGUAUGCUUGAUGAGAUCUUUCAAAACUUUUAAUAUAUAUGCCUCUGUAAGAGCUAAAGAUCUCUCUUUCUUAAUUUUCACGUGUGUCUUUUAUAAGGCAAUAUGAAUCUCUCUUUAUUUCUCAUAAUUUACCUCUUCAAGGGUAUUUGAGACUCAUCUUCUAGUUGGUACAUUAUGCUCCUCUAAGGGCAAUAUGUUCAAUAAUUUAAUAUAGAUAAAAUAUUUUGCCAUCCAUGCAAACAUGGUUCUUCAGCUGCACCGAAUUAUUUAACUUCAACUUCCUAAGAAUUAAACAUUUGCACUUAUUGAUCUACUAUAUGCUUAAGGUAUUCACAAAUUUAUUUGUCUCACCAUUUUGUCCUUCAAGGACAUCAUAUCAACCAACAAUUAUAUUUUGUUUGUGAUUUUUCACUUUCACAUGUCAAUGAAUUCAUUCAAUAAUUGAUCAAUAAUGCGCAUUGCACAAUAAUCUUGUUGAGCUUCAGGUUCAAAUAAAUUAACGCAUGUAAAGAUCAAAAUGGGAUAAAGGUGAAACAAAUUAGAUUGUCUAUCAAGUGUAUAUCACUUUACUCCCCCUAAUCAUAGAAGAAUUUUCACGAAAAUUAUUAAGCUUGCAUAGAGACUUUACUAAGUCAAAUUAUUGAAGAUUUUGGAUUGAACUUCUAGUCCAUCUCCAAUAUUAAUUCAAUUUUAGACCACUUCUGGUGAUACAAUAUUCACAUGUGAUUUCUUACAAUAAGACCUAUGAUCAUUAUAAUUUUGAAUAGUUAUUUGAUAAUCAUGACGUCCAUUACUACUCUCACAAGAGUAGGAAUCUAUUAAGGAUUUGAAUUAGUCAUGAUUUUCUUUUAAUCAAAAGCUAAUAUUUUAUUUUUAACAAAAGAAAACAUAGUAUUGAUUUAUAUUGGUACUCUUAAUUUGCUACUGCAGGAGCAUAUUUGUGCUAUAAAAUCAUGUGCCCUAUAAUAUGUUUCCUUUUAUAUUAUUCUCUCCAUAUAAUUUCAAAUGAGAGAAUUAAUCGAGCUUUUGAAAUUAUCAUCAAGUUUAUAUAUGAACUUUGAGCUCCUUCAAGGAGAAGAUCAUAAAAGAACAUCAUAACCUUUUACAAUCCUUCAGGGAUUGACUUCUUCCAUAAAAGAUCAAAUACGCAUAUAUAUUAUUUAUAACUCAUUCCUAUAUUUUAUUCUAUCAAACUGUUCUUAGAAAUUAUAAAAUAAGCAUGCAAAAAUCUGUCAUUAAAAGUUUAGAUGAUUGAAAAUAAAGUUACAAGCCAAUAAAGUCAAGAAAUUAUUCAUACCAGAAAUGCAUUUACUCAAACAUUUUUUAUUGUCAUAUUUUUCCUCCAAAAUAGUCUCAAAGAAACAAUUAUGUCAUGUUUAUCUCUUCAUUUUAUAACUCCUUCUAGGAGAUAUUAGGAAGGAAAUUCGUAUAUAGCCUUGCAUGACAACAUGAACUCGUAAUAUUUGUGUAGUCCUUCAGGGACAUAUAAAAUAUACACUUAUAUAGUCAAUCCUUCAUAUACAAGAUGGUGAUGAAUGACAUCAUAAUUUUGUAAUAGUUCUUCAGGAACCUAUUUUGAAAGAAAAUCUUCAUUAUAUACAAUGCAAUUUCCCAAGGAUGCAUUCUUAAUUUUUUUUCAUUGUAUAUUAUAGUAUUCACACUUCAGGAUGAACUUUUUGAAUUUCAAGAAUGGAAAAUAUAUAAUAGCAAUUGAAUAUUAGAAUAAGAAAUGUCAAACAAUAACAAUAUAAGUAAUGAUAAUAUAAAAGUAUGAAUUCAUUGAUGCAUUAUUCUAGAUUAUCAAAAUACAUAUGCGAAUGUAAAUAUCAUCUUAGGCAAAAUCAAGAUUGUUACUUCAUACUUUUAUGAGUAAGAUUAAAGAAGAGAUAUUACCAUAUUUUAAAGAGGAUGAAAAUUGAUCUCUUGUGGCUAGAGACUUGUGCUGAUAACGUGUUAUAAAAUCUAUUAAUUAAGAGCACAACCAUAUAGCAAGAGAAAGAAAGAAAGCAAAUAAGAGAUAUAAUGUGUGUAGAGAGAAAUUUUAUUCAAUCUCUUGUGUGUUAUCCACACUUCCAAGUGUAUACAAAUAAGGAGUAAAAGUCUCCUUUUAUAGUGAUACAACCAUAAAGUAGUAAGUAAUACAUCAUAAUUGUAAGAGACAACAAUCCUUAAAUUAAGGAGAUAAUGAGAGUUAUAAGAGAUAAAGUUACUUGUGAGGAGAUAAAAGGAUAUUUCGAUGAACAUCCAUAUAAAUUAUAAUUAUUUCAUAACAUCACCUUAGUUUUUUGUAUUUUGAGUCAUAUAUUUAAUAGAGUACUGUUAAUGCCACAUAAACAAUUAUCUCAAUCCUUGGAUUGAAACAAAUCAAUCAUUAGAUUUUGAUGUCUAAAUUUAAGUCAAAAUCUUAAGUUAGGUUAGAUGGGUGUGGCUAAGUUACAUUACAUGUAACUUAAUCCAACCUAAGAGUUGCACCUAAUAACUCAAGAUAUGUAUUCAGUAAAACAAAACUUGAAUGAUUGGAUGCAACUCUUUGGCUGCAUGUAAGUUACAUAUAAUGUAACAUAAUAUGAUUUUAAAAUAUCUCCUCUCUAAUUUUACAUAUAAUGUAAGUUACAUAAAAAAUUUCAUAAUUUUUAAUAAAAUUUUAAUUGCCAACUAAACAACUAAAUGUUUAGUAAAAAUUUUAUUUAAAUAAAAAAUAAUAUCAACCGGAGCCUAAUAAGUGAAAUAAAUGAAAGUGUAAAGAAUUUAUUUGAGCAAAUUAGUGUUUAAAUAGAGAGCUGGAUUCCCGAAAAGAAGCGCCAACAAAUUUCUUUAUUUUGUUUCAGUCAAUUUCUUUAGCAUGUUUGCCUUUACGGUUGUAGCAAAUUGGCAAAUGAACUUGUGAAGUUGACAAAAAUUAAAUGUUAUUUAUUUAUGUUGUAUCAAUUAAAAUAUAUUUUACUUUUUAUGAAGGAUUGGCAUGUUUCUCUUUGACAUAUCUAUCGUGAAGCUGAUUUUACAGCUGAUUUUUUAGCUAAGAAUGCAGGAACUUUGCCUCUCGGAAUUCAUGUUUUUCAGGAGCCUCCAGCAGAACUUGGUCCUUGGCUUUCUUAUGAUAUGUACGGGAUGAGAAUCUCCCCGUAGUAAUUUCUUAGCUUUGGCUAAGCCUUUUUUGUACCAAAAAAAUAAUAAAAUAAAUAUAUUUUAUGUUUAGCUCGUCGGAUCUCGUAGAGCCAAACUGUCGGUCUCAGUCAUCUUCCCGAAAAUUUUGAAAAACAAAACAUUGGCAAUUAAUAUACGCAACUUACUAUUCAUUGGUAAACAGUAAACUGGCAGUCUUUAAGCCAAGACUAUGUUACCCCGGGGCAACAGAUCCCUCUUUUCGUGAUGUAGUUAGCCCAUCGUGGGAAGAAAUUUUAGAAUACGUUACAAUUAUCAUGUCAAUUAUAUAACAAAUGAAUAAUAUUAUCAUGUGUUUGUAUUUAUUUUAAAAAAUUAUCAUAUAAGUAGUGGUUAUAUUAAAUUCAAUUACAUAUUUUAUACAUGUAUUAAUUGACUGUAUUAUUUUGAUGUAUUUUUAGAAGUUCUCAUUACAAACAACGAAUCCAUCGAACUGAAGGACGACAUACUAUGUUAAAAUAAGUAGACCGACCAUUCCGGUAAAGAAUAGAUAAAAGAUUUGGAAGAAUAUAUGCCGUAAGGAGGAACAAAAAACAUGUUAAUGGACUGAAACUUCAUUGAGCUCAGCAGGAGCAGCAUCGUGAUUGACGAUGAGAAAAAAAUUGGCGCAACAUAAUAGCAAAUGAGAAGGUUAAAAGGUGGGAACAGAUAAUUGGUUAGCAAGAUGAUUAAUAUAUUUUUGUUCCUAAUUAACUAGCAUAGAAUUUUAUUCUAAUCAGAAAUCAUUAUUCUUCACUUAACAACGGAAGCUUGGACUUUAUCAUGUAACUGCAAAAGAAUUUGUUCCUUUUAUUGAUGAAUCCCCCAAAACUCUUAUUACAACUACUCAAACCAUGUAAAAAGUAAAAAUGUAUGAGAGAGAAUACCAAAAAAAAUUAAUAAUAAUAAAUAAAUAAAUAACAACUCAGCCCAAUAAAACAAAUUCAAAGUUUCUUAGGCUUUAAUGCGUGGUGUGCUCCUAUAUAUGUUGCAACAAUGGUCACAAAAAUAAAUGAUGGAAGCACUGCAAACACAUAAAGAAAGAACCAUUACUUCAGGCAACAUUAUAUUUGUAUGAUGGACUCUUCAUCAGAAUGUGGUACGGUUGCUGUAGAUUUUUAUUUAUUUAUUUAUGUUUUAUUUCUCAGCAGAUUGCAUUGGCAUCCACCAAAUUCGGAGACUUCUAUCUAGGCUUCCACUCUAAAGUAAGACCGUUUGGUGAAGUUUGCUAGCAUUUCACGGGCCAUUCAUGAUUCAUGGUCAGUAAUGACCAAUGACGCAAACUCUACAAAACCUAUCGUAAAGCUCUCUCUUCCCUAUCCCAAUACUUUUCUAUUAGCUUAUCCACUUCCAUCAUCAGAAAACACCAUUGAAUUCAAUGAAACAUCCUUCUAACCCUCCAAAAUUUCCAAACUUUUUUUUGGGGUGAAAUUAAAUGCAUCAUGAGAUGAACAAAUAGAUCUUUUGUCUCAAUUAUGUCUCACAAUUUUCAAAAUGAAUAAAGGUCUCGCAGAACUCCAGGUUUGAUGGCUUAGAGGUAGCCCCCACCCAAGACUUCUUUUCCAUUUUUAACUACCAGCUGAAUUGUUAGAACCUUACUCUCAUAAUUGUGAGGACACGAGUUCAAGCCCCCUUAACACAUUAUGAAAGUUUAAUUUUCUUUUUCAAUUUGAGUGAAGUUAAUCUUCUUCUUUUAGAAAUGUAAGUAAAUCUGGGCUGUGGUAUAUAAGACUUAUAAAUUAAUGAAUUGUAAUUUUAGCAAUAGUCUCAUAUCAUUCAAAAAAAGAAAAAAACUACUGCCUAUUUUAUUAUGACUAUUCAAAUCUAACUGUUGCUUCGACAAAAAGACAAAAAAAGGGGGGGUACAAAACCUGGGGUUAAUGUGGUUGUAAGAGUGGGCAAAAAAAGCUGAUUAAUAAAAAAUCGAACUGAAUCGAUCGGUUCGGUUCGGUUUUAAAAACCGAAAUAGUAAUACAAUAAAAAUAGUAAAACCAAUCGGUUCGGUUUUAAAAAAAUCCGAAAAACCGAACCAGAAUCUCAAAUAAACCGAUUGUAAAAAAACCCUAAAGCUAAAAUAUAAAUCUAAACACUUCUGACUUCUGUCUUCUUCGACUUCUUCUGUUCCCGCUGGCCGCUGCUCGUAGUGACCUUCAGCCAAAAGCAAAAACCAAACUCGUGACUCGUGACCUUCAGCCACAGGCUCGAGUCGUGACCUUCAGCCACACUUCUGUCUUCUUCUGUCCCCUCUGCUCGUCGCCGCCGCUGAUCGUCAGUCGUCACCGCUGCUGCUGCCACUGUCACCUGCCGUGUGAACUGUGAACUUCUUCGAGUAAAUGCAAGAUUUUGUGAUAUUUAAUUUUUUUUUUAUAUACUUUGGUGCGGUUAAACUUUGCUGCUGAAUUGUUUAUACCUGUGUUACGGAAAUGGAGAAUUUAGAUAACCAUCAAAUCAUGAGUGGUAAUAAUGGAGAAUUUAGAUAGUUCUCCAAUUAACCCUGUCUCUCUCUGCACCUUUUGCCUUGACUUACUGUCUUCUUCCCUUUGGUUUCUACUUUCACUUAAACUUUCAGCUUCCAUGAUCAUUAUGGUGCCCAGAAAAUGCUUUACUUUCUAUGAAAAUUUGCCUGUUGGGUUGGCCAUUUAUAUUUGUACGUGGCUAGUCGAAGAAUUGCAGGUCCUCGGGUUCUUUACAUUUAAUUAGUUACAAUUUUUAAUUUAAUUGCAGGACUUGAAGUACUUAUAUAAGACAACCAAGUCAUAUAAUUGUUGCCUGUUGCCAUGUUGAUGGUGGCUGGUUUUUGACCUUCAGCCACACUCCAUCACAACAUGCAUUCAGCUGCUGCAAAUUCUAGACCGUGAAUUGUUUGCAGGUUGCAGCAACUUUAACGGUGGUGUUUGUUUGUUAACUUUUUAUGUUUGUGGUAGAUUUAUUAAUUUAAGGUUUUAAAUUUUAAAAAGCCCUAAAUAGGUCCAAUAGGCCCAUAAUCGAAAUAAUCGAACCCAAUCGAAUCGAAUUAUUUUGAUUAAUCGAGUAUUUAAUUAUUUCGGUAAUUUGACUAAUCGCGAUUAUGAUUUUAAAAUAAUCGUAAUCGAACGAUUAUGAAAAAUUUAGUAAAAAAUCAAACCGAACCGAACCGAACCGAACCGCGCCCACCCUAGGUGGUUGGAUCUCCUUCUUUAUUUAAUCGGACCUAUAAGUUUCUCAAGUUCAAUAUCUUAAAGAAAUUAUUUGUUUAUAUUUUAUCAUAAUAAUUAAUUGUCUGAUCUCACAAUUGUUACAAAUUGUGAGGUAUUUCAAAAUACAAAAUUCAUAAUGCACACACAACCUUCAUAUAUGAGCUCACGGGUCUAGCCCAUUUCUUAACCACUUGAUGAAAGCUUAUAUAUUCAUUAUUUUGGACCGAAAAAUCAGUUUUAAACUCAUUUUUAUUGGUCAAGCAGAGCAUAUCUAUAUGUCAGAGGCCGUGGCUUGUUUUUAGCAUUGUAGCUGCUUGAUCUCCGGUUUUAAAAUCAAUUUCAUGCACUGAUUCGUGGCAAAAAUCAAGGGGAUGAUUGUUGUAAUUCAAGGUUAUAAAAAGUCAGCUGCAGUGACGGAUUGGGUUGUGAAAAAAAAAAAGGAAAAGGAAAAUUCUUGUCAUCCUUUCCAUCUUCAUCAAAGCUUUACACUUUACCUUAAAAAAAAAAAUUAAAUCAGCUGUUUGAAUUAACUGUAGUUUGGAGUGGGCCAUUAUAAUUGGAACGCCAUUAAAUCUUGGAAGAUUAGACUGUCAUUGAUUUUUUUAUGCACCCAAAAAUUAUCCGGUAAGGGGCAGAAUCUGUUCUUUAAGGACAAUGCUUCAUUGGCACGCCUUGGCUUUCUAAUUUCAUCACUUUCUGUGUUUGUUUUUAUUAAUUAUUGUUUUGCAACUUCUACAUUUAUCAAUUGGAUUAUUGGAAGAGUUGUUGAAUUGAGGAAAGUGAAGCUACUGGAGAAUUGAAUUAAAUUGGUUUGCUGCAGAUUAUUGUCAAACUUGAUUACUUGAAUUUUUGAGUUAAAUUUGACUUUUAAUUUAUUAGUGGUGGGCUUUCCUUACAAAGUCACCUUCAAUAAUCUUCUUUGUAUUUUUGUGGCCGUAGAAAUUUGACAAAUAUCGGAAUUCAUUUGUUUUAUAUCAACAAUAUUUCAAGAAGCAAUAAUGCGUUUGAUUGAAUUCUGGAGCUUAAAGCAAUAUGCAUGAAUGGAGUUUUGGAAGUGUUCUCUACUAAACACAGCUCUACUAAUUCAACUUCUGUCCAGAUCGGGAGGGGUAAAAAAGAAAAAAAAAACAACAGUGCUCUCUACCAAACACAGCUCUACUAACCCAACUUUUGUCCUGAUUGGGAGGGAAAGGAGAGAAAACAACUUUUGUCGCUUAGAAAAGUCACAUGCAUUGACUGUUGACAGGAUUAAUUUUCACUUACUCCCUAACAAAUUGAUUAUUCCUAAAAUCUGUCCCUAAUUAUUAUAAAUUUAAACUUCAAUUAAGAAGAUACAAAAAUCUUCAUCAAUACGCCCUCAUUUGUCCUUGUGUUUUGAAUGUUAUUUAAAGAUAAGUUGAAAUUUAUAAUAAUUUAAAUUAACAUUUAUUGAUAUUUGAUAGUUAAUACUCAAUUUGAGUCCCUUUAUUUCUCCAACCACACCUACAUGAAAUGGCAAUCAUUAGCUUUCUCUUACAUGUUUUAUUACAAAAAUGUUCCUACUUUAAUGGCUUGAUCUAAUAAAUAACGAUUUGCCUUUACAAAAUUUGUUUUUGAUGUAAAAGAAUGAAAGAACUUUUGCUCGCUCUGUGUUUUACAAACGAUACCAGUGCAAUUUAAGUACACUCUAUACUUGAAAUUGCAUGCUUAUAUGUAGGCUUUUUUUGUUUAAUUUUAAAUAUUCCCGAUAUAUAAUUGGGUGUUAUUUAAUAUUUGAUCCCGAUAUAUAUAUAUAUGGGUGUUAUUUAAUAUUUGAUCCCGAUAUUUUAAAUAUUCCCGAUAUAUAAUUGGGUGUUAUUUAAUAUUUGAUCCCGAUAUAUAUAUAUAUAUAUCGUCAAUAUAUAUUUAUAUGUUUGUGUAACUAUUUAACAUUUUCAACAAAGGGUACUAUUAUAUUUUUGUUUUGUGUAGGUUUACAUUGUAUCCUAGUCAUUAAGUUAUUUGAUAAUGAACAUGAGGUACAAUGCUUCGUUUCAUAUGAAUUUUCAUUCAAAAAUGGAUUACAUUCGUCUCUAAUGAUUAAUAUAAAGAUUUUUUUUAAACAUCUUAAUAAUAUACUACUUAUUCUGGUUAUACUUCAUAAAAUUGUGAUAGAUUUACACAAAGAUUGAGAUGAAAUCUUCACGAUACGCAAAAAUAAUUUUUAUUUCUUUUAUAAAAUAGCAUCAUACAAUAAAAAUCACGGGAUCGGGUGGGAUCUGCUUACAUAAUUCUGACGGGGCAGAAAGAAAUUUACUUAUGUUCGCUUGUAGGCGGUAGCGGCAGAGACGUAAAGCUUACCGCUUGCAGAGAAAGAGGAAAAAAUCGGACAGUUAAAUUCUUCUGCACGAUACUUGCCAGCCUAGCGGCGGCCACCUCAAAAGUUCUUUAGCCAUGUGCUCUCUACCAAACACAGCUCUACUAACCCAACGUUUGAACUGUCAAUUCUAUUCAAAUGAAGGUAAUUAUAGUUUUUUACACUAUAAAAGUUACUUUAAGUCUUUAACUUCAAAAUAAAUGGAAUUGGGGGCGGCGCAAUGACUAUUUGUUGAAAGUAUUGGGAACAUGGUUGCAUAUGUUUUAACAUUUGGGGGCUGCAAAAAGCCAGUGUUUCUCCUUCGAUUUAACUCUUUCCUUGCUUCUCUCUCUCUGGAAAAAAAAAAGGCUUUUGCUGCCUUAAGCACCAUAAAUUUUCGUUAUUCUAUCGGGCCUUUCCGUCAAAAUUUCCAUUUGGCAGCUGGGGAUUGCAUCGAACGCGAAAAACAGAGGUGAAUUCUACGGAGUGACCUUUAACUUCUUUUCUUGCCUUUUUUUUUUUUGGUUUUUUAAGGUUAUUUUGGUUAAAAAAUUUAUGGAUAAUUUUUGAAUACCUACGUGAGGUUUGUCCUUGCUGCACUUAGAGAGAAUAUAUGAAUAUAUUGACAUAUAGGGUCCAGCUAUAGUGCCACGGUUGUAUGGUACCACAGCUGAAUCCAACCUUUGGAUCCAAUUCUGGUGACAACUGUGGGUUAGAUCCAAUGGUUGGAUCCAACUGUGGUAACAUACAACUGUGGUACCAUAGUUUUGGCUAGACAUAUAAUCCAUGUAUCAGCGUUAGAGAGCCGUUUGCUUUCUUGAUGAAAGUACAAUAACGCCCUUCACUGUACAUUACAAUAACUGACAAUGCUGGCAGCAGUGCAGAGUUGGGGUUUUAUAUUUAAAUAUACCCUAUUGAAUGAAUCAAGUAUUAAAUUGAGCAAUAUUUAAAAUAAAUUAAGUAAAAGACGAGUAAGUUUUCUAAACAAAUCGAGUAACAGUUAUGUUAUUUUUUAAAGAAGUCAAGUAUGAUAUUGGGUAAGUCGAGUAUUCGAUCGAGUAAGAAGUGAAGUAAAGGAAUUGAGUAAGUCGAGUAAGUAUGUUGAAUGAGUCAAAUAUUGAGUAAUUUUUUAAACAAGUCGAGUAAACGUCAAAUAUUAUUUUUUGCUUCUUUUGAUCUUGCUCGACUUUGUAACUUAGGGAACCAGUUCAGUUUUCUUAUGAUUUUAUUGAAGUUAUUUUUGUACUUUCGUUAAUUUUUUAAGAAUAUAUAUGUAAAAUUAAAGAUGUUAAUGGUUAAAGGUAUAUUUUGGGUAUUUUUGGGGGAAAUGGGGUAAUAUCCCACUCCAUUCCCUCGGAAAGUUGCAGGCUUGACAAUGCUUCUUGCAUUGCAGAAGAUAACAAAGGAGAAGCUUUAACCCUCUUCUUCACUUCUUGUGUUUCUCUCAUCAGCAACUUCCGUGGCACCUUGUGCCUUCUUCUAUGCAUUUGCAGGUUCUGGUCUCUUUGAAACCCUUAGUUGCAGAUCUCACAUACAUAUCCAUCUGAUUCUAACAAGGUCUUGGGUGAUAAAGAAACCACCUCUGCAUCCGAAUCUAUGCCAGUAUGUGUGUGUGUAAACUAAAAAAAAAAAAACGGAAAAGCAAAAAUUAAUACUGGCAAUUCGCCUUAAAAGAAUUGAACCCAUAUACAAAAGAAAACUGAAAAGGAAAGCUAACUGAGGUGCCUGCUGGUUUUCUUUUUCUUUUGUUAUGAAUAGCUAGGUGAAAGGAUCAGAAGAAGAAGGAGCAUUACUUUUGGUGUUAUUUUCUAACAUAGGGUUAGAAUUUUUGUGGACUAGCAAACCAAUAUGACAAAGUGGUUGUGAUGCAGGAAUAGUGGCCUUUGUUUUUCAGCUUAAUUGAAUAAAGAACAAAACGGGUGGAGAGGAAGUGGGGAAAGAGAAAGAAAAGAAGAAAGUGUAUUUUUUUUUUCUUUUCCCCUUUUCUUAUUCUAAAUUUUUUUUUUUUGAGAGAGAGAGAGAGAGAGGAGAAUGAGGAGUGGGAGAGGAAGCAAAAGCUCUUGCUUUCUUUUUGCAAUAAGCCUUCUUAUUUUUGCUUAUUGUCCUUAACAAGUAACAGCCAAACGAUUCUCUAUCGCCAAUACGCGGUAGGGGAUGUUAUAUGUCAAUAUAUACAUAUAUUCUCUCUAAAUAUAAUAAGGACAAACCUCAGGGGAGGUAUCCAAAAAUUACAUAUAAAUUCUAUGGACCUAAAUCACAAAUGCACUUUUGCAGAUAUGAUGUCGACUACAGAGAUCGAGGAGCCGAUAGAAGAGGAUGAAAAUGAAAUGGAUCCUCAACCUCCGCGGUUAUCUCAUAAACAAUCGUUUGGUAUGUGAUUUGCAUUUUCACAUUGUUAUGAACAGAAUCGGUGAACAGUAGUUUUAGAAUUAAUUAAUUAGGGAAAUCGAUUUAUAUAUUAUUUUAAUUUGCCUAUACUGAUUACAAUAGAUCUAAAUUCCUAACACACAACUUAUUUGAGUUGAAAUACAGUUUUAGCAGGCGCAAACAGAGCAAGAGUUGUAUAUACAUUAUUUAUUAUAUAUUACAUAUUUUCUAGUUUUGAACAGUAAUAAAACUUACGUAUUUUCUAGUUUUGAACAGUAAUAAAAUUUACCAUCUUUACCUAGAGUUGAGGAGAGAGAAAGAGAAGAAAACAAAAAGGAAAAGAAAAGAAAAGAUGUUUGGUUUAAAGUUCUAAUAUUUUAGUAUAGAUUUGUAUUAUUGGAUAGGAGCUGUUUUAUCUCCUACUAGUGUGUGUGGGUGGAGUAAUAACUCUUUUAAAUUUCUUAAAAACUUGUGAGCUAUUUAUAAAGAUUAAUUAUGGGCUGUAUUGUGUGGGCUAUAUAUAUAUAUAUUGUACUGUAUCUUAUUAUUAAAAAAUAAAUAUAUAAAUUUAAUUUUUUAUUUUAAAUUUUGAAUUAACUACUAUCUUAAUGAAAGUUAAAUUCAAAUUUAAAUUAAUUAAUUCGAAAAAUACCAACUAGGCCCAGACAUUUCUAUAACCCGAUUAGUGUUUCCAGAGAUCAACAUGCUUGACUUGUGAUAUGAGAAGGAUGAAUAAUUUCUCUAUAAUUUUUUGAGAAUAAGUGAAAUUUUAUUAAAUAGGGACUAAAUAUAAGUGAAGUAGAUAUUCUUCAAGUGAGAGUUGAAAUUUGGGUUGUGUUAUACUAGACUUAUUAAAGGUAAUUCCAAUAAGUUUUUAAUUGUAAAUAUUAGUAGAAUUCUAAUUACAAUAUAUCACUGUAUAAAAAAAAUGACCGAAUUGUUCAAAUUACAUAUCAAGCCAUUUUGGGCAUAAUAAUUAAAUUGCCGCAGAUGAGAUUAGUUACCGAUAUAUGCACUUAAAUGAGUUAUAUGUAGUCAUGUGAUAUUUAUUAUUUUCACUUCAACGACGUUCUAGUUAUAUAUAACUGUGAUUUUAGGUUAAAUUAUGAAAGGAAAAAAAGAAAAUAUCAAAAGAAUGUAUAUGUAACUUCUUCUUUUUUUUUAAAAAAAAAAAUGUAUUUAUUUUGAUUCGUGUCUAGCAAUUCUUAAUCCGCGUGCUAUUGAAACAGAUAUUGAGGCUGCGAUUUCUUCACGAGUCGACGAAAGUGGUCAAAGUAAGUUCGUUGUAUUUUCAAUAACUGUUCAAAAUAUUGCCUUUAUCAAAAAAUUAAAUUUUAGGUUCUUAAGAGUAGAUAUUGUAGAAUUCUUAUAAAAAUGAAACAAUAAUAUCAGGGAUAUCAAUCUUUGAGUCCCAACUUGAAUUUCAAUAUUAUGUGCCAUUCAUCUAUUCGAUAAUAGAUUUCAUAACUUGUAAAAUUACUUAAUCACCAUCCAAUAGAUGAAUGGCACAAUGAAACUUAGAUGUUGGGAUAUCUAACAUUACUCAAAGUUAAAUUAUGUAAAGGACGAUACUAUUGGCAUUCUAAAAAAUAGGAAAAAGAACACCUACAAUCCCAAGGUUAGGAGAAAUGACCAUUUAGAUCCUUGUUAAGUAAAUAAGAGCACUAGCUCAGCCAUGCCAUCAUUCUCACCCCGGCAUGGAUCACCUCAGCCAAAUGGUAUGAGUAGAACACUGAUAAUGAGUCUUCUACGAACAAGGGCCAACCAGAGAUGAGUAUCAGCCAAAGGAAUGUACCGACCAGAGACAAGUACCGAGCAGAUACCCAUUCCCCAAAGAGCGGGAACGCGAUCUCACGAAAUCACGACAGUUGCGCUAUGUCCAGAACCGUUGAGGGAGACACGGUGUCCCACGUUUACCCACAAUGUAGCAGUUGGAGUCCUAUGAGGAGCUGCCACUACCCGAGAUAAGGGGGGAUGAAGGAUAAAUGGAAACAUGGGACAGCGGUUAUAAAAAAGGAAGAAACCAAUGAAGAAAAGGGAUAGAAAAAUUGAGAGAAGGGAAAACUCUUCCAAAUUAAAACCAGACCAUUUUCAGUACAAACUGUGAGCCAAUUAUAAGCAACUUAUCGAAUCUUAAUUACACCGUUUUUCUGUAAACACCUUGUGCUAACUUAGGCAUCGGAGGGUCUACGCCGGUAAAACCACCGGCGUCUCUGAUCCACUUUUGUUAACACAGGCUUAGUGGGAGAAGGAAGGAUAAUUCCAACUUUAGUGACUAGAGCGAUCGUUGAAGCAAGAAGAAAUUGACAUCCACACUAUUGACUACAUAAACGUUGGUGAAAAGCUACCACCAAAUUAGUAGUUACCGGAGAAGCAGCGAACGGUUGGAUAUGGAUGCGUCAAGGAAGGAUGCCUUAAGGGAUGACAAUGAAACUGUCGAGACGAUCACUCUUCAGGAGAUUGCGAAUGAAGCUCGAGAGAGGAUGAUGCAAGAUCGACUGGAGUGGAUGGAGAAACAAAUGGAGACUCUCACGGCCAUAUUGUGUGAGCUGAGGGAUGAGCGGAGAAGGGACUGCGAAACCCCCGUGGGGAGAGAGGAAGUUGGGGCAGAACCUAGCCUCCGGAGGCGUAGAGUCGAGGAAAUCCCUCUAUCGGUGGACCAACCUUAUGGGGUGCACCCCCAUAAAAGUACUGGUCAGGUUCCAGGGGAGUGCGUGGGUGAAGGGGGGAAUCAACCUCACCCCGGACGGGUACUGAAAAUUGAUGGCCGAAGGGCCAGUGUUGAUGAAGGAGAGCUCAGACAGUGGUUGCAGAAUGCCGAGCAGGAACGAGAUCAGAUAGCUGCGUGCGAUCUUGACCGUGCGGUAGAAUUAGAGGGAGAGGUUCGCAGAUUGGCGCAGGUGAUAGAGGAGAUUUAGGGCAAGAGAAAGCCUCCGAGCUGGAGGAUAAUGCUAGAUAAAGAAUCUCUGUUAUCAACCGAGAUCAUGGGUAUUGUAAUCCCAAGAGAUUUUUGCUUCCCCGACCUCAAAUACUCCGGGCGAAGUGAUCCGCUGGUGCAUAUUGAACGUUUCAACGACAUGACGGGUGUGCAGGGGCUGACACCAGCUCAGAGGUGCAGGGUGUUCCCAUUGACACUAGAGGGACGAGCCCGAGAAUGAUACUGCAAGCUGCCACGGGAGAGUAUAAAAGGGUACGAGCAGAUGUGCCAUGAGUUGCCGAGCAGUUCCGAUGAGCUGUGGCCCUAGAGGAUGACAGGAUGGAACUUAUGGGGAUGAAACAGGAGGAACACGAAUCCAUUUGGAAUUUUAUAAAACGAUAUCACCGAGCCAUGCUGGAUCUGGGAGUUUUUAAUCACCCGCAGGCGUUGAGAGGAUUAAAAGAAGGUGUAAGAAUAGGCCGAUUGUGAUAUAACUUAAGAAGCCCCCUAGUGCAGAAUUACUCGGCGGGGUAUGAACAGGCGAGGCGAGAUAUGGAAAUCGAAGAGGAGAAAUCGGCAAGGAUAAAAAGUGAACAGCUGGAAGAGCUGAGACGAAAGGAACCGAGAGCCCCGAACUAGAGCGGAUCGGGAAAGCGAGCUGGGAAAUCCUCAGUAAUGGGCGGAAUAUCAGCUCGGUCCCGCCCUUACCCCAUAGCUCAGAGACCACAACAGUUCCAACGCAGCCGGGCUCAACCUCCACGCCCCCCAUUCCCGGAGCGGCAACGAGAAUUCAGGCAGAUAGCUGCCCACCCUUAUCACAACACUCCUAGAGCAUUACAUACAACUAACUCCAGGGCUGGACUACCAGAUCAGCUACCAACGAUACCAGCCCGAGGUGAUAUCCAUGAUAGUCGAGCAGUUCAACUGGUUGACCAGAGCUUGGCAUAUAGACAGUACACUCCAUUAAAAAUCUCCAUGGAAGAAUUGUAUGAGAGGAUCGAAGGACGAGGCCUGCUAUACCCUCCGACCCUUAUAACAAAACCUGCUCACCGAUGUGAUAAGAGCAGAUUCUGAAAUUCCACGACACUCACGGUUACAUUAUCAGCCAAUGUCGUGAUCUAAAGAUUCAUGUGGAGGAUUUGGUGAGGAACCGGUACUUAGAUGAAUACGUAGAUGGAGUGUCCCCCGUCAUUGAAUUACAAUACACGCGAGAUGAAGGAGUUGAGAGAAGCCUGGAACGUGAACAGCCAACUAUCCGUGUAAUAGCAGGAGAGCCAACAUUGGCUGGGGACUCAAACAGGGCACGGAAGAACUAUAGGAGAUACGCCAUGACCAGCAAACAAGUGUUUUUCAAUUUGCCAGCAGCCAAGAGGGCAAAGGUGAGGCAAGUUCCCAUUAUGUGGACAGAUGAUGACAAAGAGGGUAUCUUAUAUCCUCAUGAGGAUGCACUGGUGAUUAAGGCAAUGGUGGCUGGUAUAGAAUUGCGGCGAAUACUGGUGGACACGGGCAGCUCGGUUGACAUCCUGUUUAAGUCGGCCCUAGAUGAUAUGGGAAUUUCAAACUUAAAACUGGAGAGGGCGAAUACAUCCUUGAAGGGAUUUGAAGGAGGACGGUUAACCUCCAUGGGGAUCAUCGAGCUCCCGAUUACUGUGGGGUCAAAACCGUUUGAAAAGAUAAUGAUGCUGGACUUCGUCGUGGUAGAAGAGAGAAGCCCUUACCAGAUGAUACUGGGGCAACUUUUCAUGAGGAUAAGCCAAUGCGUUAUAUCUACGCAUUAUCUGGCGUUGAAAUACAGAGUCAACAGAGUUGUAGGAGUAGUAAAAGGUGACUAGAGAAUGGCGAGGAGCUGUUAUGCUACAUCGGCCAAGGAGACACUACAGGUUACCUCCCUGGAUAACCGAGGAGAUUCUAAAGAGGGUCGCCAGGAACCUGUUGAGGAGCUGGAGGAGGUUGUUGUGAGCAAGGAUAACCCGAGCAGAAUGGUUAAGAUCGGGUCAAGAUUGGGCGAAGCAAUAAAGGGCGAGUUGGUGAAAUGCCUACAGUCCCAUGCAGAUAUAUUUGCUUGGUCCCAUGAAGACAUGCCAGGAAUUGACCGCAGGAUAGCUUGCCACAAGCUGGCAAUUAAGAAAGGGGCGAGGCCGGUAAGGUAGAAAAUGAGGUGUUUUAACUAGGAAAGGUACGAGGCUAUAAAUACCGAGGUAGAGAAGCUGUUGAAAGCAGGAUUUAUAAGGGAAGCUAAAUACCCAGAGUGGAUUUCCAAUAUAGUAUUGGUAAAUGAAGGAUGUGUGUGGAUUUCACAGACCUCAAUAAGACAUGCCCAAAGGACAGCUUUCCCCUACCAAAAAUAGAUCAAUUGGUGGAUUCAACGGCGGGUCACAGUCUGCUCAGUUUCAUGGAUGCCUUUUCGAGAUACAACCAAAUACCCAUGAACGAGCAGGGUGAGGAGAGUACCACCUUUAUAACUAACAUUGGUUUGUUUUGUUACAGGGUGAUGCCUUUUAGCCUAAAAAAUGCAAGAGCUACCUAUUAAAGGUUGGUGAAUAAGAUUUUUAAACCAUUGAUCGGUCACACUAUGGAGGUAUAUGUGGAUGAUAUGAUCACGAAGUCUAAAGAACCGAUGGAUCAUGUGAAGCACCUAGAAGAGACCUUUGAAUUGCUGAGGAAGUAUGAAAUGAAGCUGAACCCGGAGAAAUGUGCAUUUGGAGUCAGCUCGGGCAAGUUCUUGGGAUUCCUGGUGAGUCACCGAAGGAUCGAGGCCAACCCGGAAAAAAUACAGGCAGUAACAGAAAUGAAGUCCCCUCGAACAGUUAAGGAGGUGCAGAGCCUUAUAGGGAAAUUAGCAGUACUGAACCGGUUCAUCUCGCAGGCCACAGACAAAUGCCACCCUUUCUUCCAAACCAUAAAGAAAUGGAGGAAGAUAGAAUGGACGUCAGAAUGUGAAGAAGCAUUCGAGCAGCUUAAGGAAUACCUGGCCCGCGCUCCGUUAUUAUUGACUCCAAGGGAAGGUGACCAGUUGUAUUUGUACUUAGCAAUCUCUGAAUGGGCUACCAGCUCGGUAUUAGUCAGAGAAGAAGAAGGAAAGCAACACCCAGUAUACUACACCAGUAAGGUCCUGGUAGACGCGGAAACCAGAUAUCCACUGAUGGAGAAAUGUGCACUAGCUUUAGUCACGGUAGCACGCAAGCUCAAACCAUAUUUUCAGGCCCACCCGAUAGUUGUGUUGACUAACCAGCCCCUUCGGCAAAUGCUCCAAAAACCAGAUGCGUCUUGUCGGUUAGUAAAAUGGUCCGUGGAGUUGAGCGAAUUUGAUCUAUCCUAUAGGCCCCGAGGAGCAAUCAAAGCUCAAGCCCUAACCGAUUUUAUGGUUGACCGUGCUGAACCAGAGGAGGAAACUCAGGGGGAGCAACUAAUGGAGCAAGAUAAACUAGGUGGGGUGUGGCUAGUAAUGGUUGAUGGAUCAUGUAGUGAACAAGGGUCCGGAGCAGGAAUUGUAAUACGAAGCCCAGAAGGGACCGAAAUAACGUAUGCAGUGAAGUUUGAAUUUCAGCUCACAAACAACCAAGCUGAAUAUGAAGCCUUUAUCACUGGGCUUGGACUUGCACACGCACUAAGAGCAGAAAGAAUAGAAAUCCGAGCAGAUUCUCAAUUAGUCUGCAAUCAACUCAGUGAUCAGUUCCAAGCAAGGGAAGAGAAGAUGGGGUUUUAUUUGAAGAAGGCAAAGCAGAUGGUUGGGCUUUUUCAAGCGGUAGAGGUGAAGUAGAUACUCCGGAAUGAGAAUUACCGAGCAGAUAUAUUGGCCAGAAUGGCUGCUAUUGCAGAUCCAAAGUUACCUAUGUCAGUCCCACUAGAGGUGAUGACCUCACCAAGCAUAGGGGAGGAAGUAGAGGUAAUGAGAAUAAGCACCGAGAAAUCCUGGAUGGACCCGAUUCUCUCGUACAUCUGCGAUGGAAUUCUAUCGAAGGACAAGAGGCAAGCAAGGAAGUUAAAAUGACGAGCAGCAAGGUACACGCUACUCGAUGAGGUGCUCUACCACCGAGGAUUCACCUUGCCCCUUUUGAGAUGUUAGGAUGACGAGGAAGCAGAUUAUGUACUGAGAGAAAUUCAUGAAGGAAUAUGUGGCAAUCACUCGGGAGCGAGAACUUUAGCCUUCAAGGCACUCCGGCAAUGAUACUUCUGGCCAACCAUGCACCAGGAUGCGAAAAGUAUGGCAAGGAACUGUAAAGUCUGCCAAACAGAUGGAGUGUCCCCCGUCAUUGAAUUACAAUACACGCGAGAUGAAGGAGUUGAGAGAAGCCUGGAACGUGAACAGCCAACUAUCCGUGUAAUAGCAGGAGAGCCAACAUUGGCUGGGGACUCAAACAGGGCACGGAAGAACUAUAGGAGAUACGCCAUGACCAGCAAACAAGUGUUUUUCAAUUUGCCAGCAGCCAAGAGGGCAAAGGUGAGGCAAGUUCCCAUUAUGUGGACAGAUGAUGACAAAGAGGGUAUCUUAUAUCCUCAUGAGGAUGCACUGGUGAUUAAGGCAAUGGUGGCUGGUAUAGAAUUGCGGCGAAUACUGGUGGACACGGGCAGCUCGGUUGACAUCCUGUUUAAGUCGGCCCUAGAUGAUAUGGGAAUUUCAAACUUAAAACUGGAGAGGGCGAAUACAUCCUUGAAGGGAUUUGAAGGAGGACGGUUAACCUCCAUGGGGAUCAUCGAGCUCCCGAUUACUGUGGGGUCAAAACCGUUUGAAAAGAUAAUGAUGCUGGACUUCGUCGUGGUAGAAGAGAGAAGCCCUUACCAGAUGAUACUGGGGCAACUUUUCAUGAGGAUAAGCCAAUGCGUUAUAUCUACGCAUUAUCUGGCGUUGAAAUACAGAGUCAACAGAGUUGUAGGAGUAGUAAAAGGUGACUAGAGAAUGGCGAGGAGCUGUUAUGCUACAUCGGCCAAGGAGACACUACAGGUUACCUCCCUGGAUAACCGAGGAGAUUCUAAAGAGGGUCGCCAGGAACCUGUUGAGGAGCUGGAGGAGGUUGUUGUGAGCAAGGAUAACCCGAGCAGAAUGGUUAAGAUCGGGUCAAGAUUGGGCGAAGCAAUAAAGGGCGAGUUGGUGAAAUGCCUACAGUCCCAUGCAGAUAUAUUUGCUUGGUCCCAUGAAGACAUGCCAGGAAUUGACCGCAGGAUAGCUUGCCACAAGCUGGCAAUUAAGAAAGGGGCGAGGCCGGUAAGGUAGAAAAUGAGGUGUUUUAACUAGGAAAGGUACGAGGCUAUAAAUACCGAGGUAGAGAAGCUGUUGAAAGCAGGAUUUAUAAGGGAAGCUAAAUACCCAGAGUGGAUUUCCAAUAUAGUAUUGGUAAAUGAAGGAUGUGUGUGGAUUUCACAGACCUCAAUAAGACAUGCCCAAAGGACAGCUUUCCCCUACCAAAAAUAGAUCAAUUGGUGGAUUCAACGGCGGGUCACAGUCUGCUCAGUUUCAUGGAUGCCUUUUCGAGAUACAACCAAAUACCCAUGAACGAGCAGGGUGAGGAGAGUACCACCUUUAUAACUAACAUUGGUUUGUUUUGUUACAGGGUGAUGCCUUUUAGCCUAAAAAAUGCAAGAGCUACCUAUUAAAGGUUGGUGAAUAAGAUUUUUAAACCAUUGAUCGGUCACACUAUGGAGGUAUAUGUGGAUGAUAUGAUCACGAAGUCUAAAGAACCGAUGGAUCAUGUGAAGCACCUAGAAGAGACCUUUGAAUUGCUGAGGAAGUAUGAAAUGAAGCUGAACCCGGAGAAAUGUGCAUUUGGAGUCAGCUCGGGCAAGUUCUUGGGAUUCCUGGUGAGUCACCGAAGGAUCGAGGCCAACCCGGAAAAAAUACAGGCAGUAACAGAAAUGAAGUCCCCUCGAACAGUUAAGGAGGUGCAGAGCCUUAUAGGGAAAUUAGCAGUACUGAACCGGUUCAUCUCGCAGGCCACAGACAAAUGCCACCCUUUCUUCCAAACCAUAAAGAAAUGGAGGAAGAUAGAAUGGACGUCAGAAUGUGAAGAAGCAUUCGAGCAGCUUAAGGAAUACCUGGCCCGCGCUCCGUUAUUAUUGACUCCAAGGGAAGGUGACCAGUUGUAUUUGUACUUAGCAAUCUCUGAAUGGGCUACCAGCUCGGUAUUAGUCAGAGAAGAAGAAGGAAAGCAACACCCAGUAUACUACACCAGUAAGGUCCUGGUAGACGCGGAAACCAGAUAUCCACUGAUGGAGAAAUGUGCACUAGCUUUAGUCACGGUAGCACGCAAGCUCAAACCAUAUUUUCAGGCCCACCCGAUAGUUGUGUUGACUAACCAGCCCCUUCGGCAAAUGCUCCAAAAACCAGAUGCGUCUUGUCGGUUAGUAAAAUGGUCCGUGGAGUUGAGCGAAUUUGAUCUAUCCUAUAGGCCCCGAGGAGCAAUCAAAGCUCAAGCCCUAACCGAUUUUAUGGUUGACCGUGCUGAACCAGAGGAGGAAACUCAGGGGGAGCAACUAAUGGAGCAAGAUAAACUAGGUGGGGUGUGGCUAGUAAUGGUUGAUGGAUCAUGUAGUGAACAAGGGUCCGGAGCAGGAAUUGUAAUACGAAGCCCAGAAGGGACCGAAAUAACGUAUGCAGUGAAGUUUGAAUUUCAGCUCACAAACAACCAAGCUGAAUAUGAAGCCUUUAUCACUGGGCUUGGACUUGCACACGCACUAAGAGCAGAAAGAAUAGAAAUCCGAGCAGAUUCUCAAUUAGUCUGCAAUCAACUCAGUGAUCAGUUCCAAGCAAGGGAAGAGAAGAUGGGGUUUUAUUUGAAGAAGGCAAAGCAGAUGGUUGGGCUUUUUCAAGCGGUAGAGGUGAAGUAGAUACUCCGGAAUGAGAAUUACCGAGCAGAUAUAUUGGCCAGAAUGGCUGCUAUUGCAGAUCCAAAGUUACCUAUGUCAGUCCCACUAGAGGUGAUGACCUCACCAAGCAUAGGGGAGGAAGUAGAGGUAAUGAGAAUAAGCACCGAGAAAUCCUGGAUGGACCCGAUUCUCUCGUACAUCUGCGAUGGAAUUCUAUCGAAGGACAAGAGGCAAGCAAGGAAGUUAAAAUGACGAGCAGCAAGGUACACGCUACUCGAUGAGGUGCUCUACCACCGAGGAUUCACCUUGCCCCUUUUGAGAUGUUAGGAUGACGAGGAAGCAGAUUAUGUACUGAGAGAAAUUCAUGAAGGAAUAUGUGGCAAUCACUCGGGAGCGAGAACUUUAGCCUUCAAGGCACUCCGGCAAUGAUACUUCUGGCCAACCAUGCACCAGGAUGCGAAAAGUAUGGCAAGGAACUGUAAAGUCUGCCAAACCUUCUCAGAGGUUCCUGCACAACCCCCAGAAAAGCUGACCACUAUGACAUCCCCAUGGCCUUUUGCCCAAUGGGGAAUCGACCUGCUUGGUCCGUUACCUAAGGGCCAAGGAGUGGCAACACACGCAAUUGUGGCAGUAGACUACUUCACUAAAUGGGUAGAAGUGGGAGUCCUCAGCUAAAUCACGGAGAGAAAGACGACGAAUUUUAUUUGGAAGAAUAUCAUCUGCAGAUACGGGAUCCCCUAUGCCAUCGUUACAGACAAUGGGAGGCAAUUUGACAACAACAAUUUCAAGAAAUUUUGCCGAAACUUGAGGGUGGACCUGAAGUUCUGCACCCCCGCACACCCCCAGGCAAACAGACAGGUGGAAGCAGCCAACAAAGUAAUAAAGAAACUUCUGAAAACAAGACUGGGAGAGAAGAAGGGAGCUUGGGUCGAUGAUCUACUAGGAAUACUGUGGGCUUACCGGACAACUUACAAAACCGCCACAGGAGAAACCCCGUUUGCUUUAGCUUUUGGUCAUGAGGCGACAGUCCCAGCAGAAAUCGGAGUGGGGACACAUCGGACAGAAUACUUCAACAAGGAGCAAAACGACGAGCAGAUCUGCUUGAGCCUGGACCUGCUGGAGGAGAAAAGAGAAGGGGCCUCGCAGAAAGUGGUCCAGUGUCAGCAAAGAGUCAUGCGCUAUUACAACAAGAACGUAAGCAUGAGACAGUUUCGAGCAGAGGAUUGGGUACUUAGGAAGGUGAACCAAAACACUAGGGAUCCUAACCAUGGCGCUCUUGGCCCGAAAUGGGAAGGCCCGUAUAGGGUGAUACGAGUGACUGGACCAGGAGCUUACAAGCUAGCGUACCUAGAUAGACGAGACGUGAAGAGAUCGUGGAACGCCGAGCAUUUGAAGAAGUAUUUCCAGUAAGCAAAGUGCUCUACUAAGUCUUCAUUUUGAUAAGUUAUCUUUGUUAAAUGCAUGAUGACUUGUUGAACAUGCACAUAUUCCGCAUGUCUGUAAUGCAUUCAAGUUUCAAUAAAGAUGAAUUCAGCAUAAAAUUCCCCUGCUAGCAAGCCCAUUAAAUUUUUACUAAGGCAAGUAAGUGUCUGCUCCUGCUCGGUCAACAAAAGACCAGUAGGCAAUUUUACGAAAUUCUACGAAGGCAAGUAAGUGUCUGCUCUUACUCGGUUAACGAAAGACCAGCAAGCAAUGUACAAAAUUCUACUAAGGCAAACAAAUGCCUAAUCCUGCUCAGUCAAUGAAAGACCAGCAGGCAAUGCUACAAAAUUCUACUAAGGCAAACAAGUGCCUAUUCCUGCUCGGUCAACGAAAGACCAGCAAGUAAUUUUACGAAAUUUUUAUUAAGGCAAGCAAGUGCCUAUUUCUGCUCGGUCGCUUAAGGACCACCAGGUAAUUUCACGAAAUUUUACUAAAGCAAACAAAUGCCUAUUCCUGCUCGAUCGCUUAAAGGACCAGCAGGCAAAUCUAUAAAUUUGGUUAUGGCAAACAAGUGUCUAUUCCUACUCAGUCGAUUAAAGAACUAGCAGGCAAAGCCAACUAAAAGUGUUAAGGCCAUUUACAGAAACGAUCUAUAAGCAAAACCACAACAGAAGAGCUAAUAGAAAGCAUCUAAAAUUUAUACUCAAAAUGUUUACAAAACAGAUGAAAGUUUAGAGUUUAUACAAAAAAAGACCUAAAAAUUAGGAGGAUCGAUAGUUGAAGGAUUGGCAAUCUCGGGAGGUGGAAGAUCAGCAACAUCGGGAGAAUGAGGCAUGGACCCUUGACCCACUUGAAGAGCACGGCCCCCAGCUCCCCCCUCAUGCGCCCCACCUGAGUGAGGUUCCACCUGGUUCUGAUCCCCCUGCUUUUUGUCCCCUUGGUCGGACUCAGCCAUAUAUCUCUGCACUCCAACCUCCAGCUUGCUCAUGUCAAGCUCAGGAUAUUCCUCCUUAAGCACAGACAUGAUGCACUUGUAGCAGAAAGCAACCCCAGAGUCAUACUCUACCUCCAGCCAAUCAUCCACAUCAGCAGAUUUGCCUUUCACCUCGGCCAACUGCUCAUUUAGAGAUUUGAUUUCUCCCUCAAGAGCCGUCUUCAAGGUGUCCCGCUCACUCUGAGUGGCCUGGAGAUCAGACUUCAGAUCACCCAACUCACUUUCAAGCUUGAUGGAGGUGGACUUAGCCAUGGCCACUUUCUCCUCCAGAUCCAUGAUUUGCUUGCGCAGAUCAAGCAACUUCUCCUUCGAGCGAUCGGCGGACUCAGCUUUCUUCUUUAAGUCCUGGUUAUCAGCUUGAAGCCUUCUCUCAUGGAGAAGGGACCUGUUCUUGUAGCACGAAACCAGGGUGGCCAGCUUAAAGGAAACUCUUUGAACGGAACCAGCUAACUCGACGAAGUUCAUGCUCUCGAUAUCCUUCACCAUCUUAGGCCCCACCGAUUUGUCGUAAUCCCUCUGGUACGGGCUUAGGUAGUCAACUUGAUCCCGAGACGGAAGAGAAGAGGAUCAGUCCCCGGACUGAACGCUGACUUCAGGACUCUUAUCACUCACCAUUUUUCCGAGGUGGAGGAGGAGGCAGAGCAGGAACAGAAGCCUUGGGUGGACCAACAUUGGCUUUCUUUGGAAGAGGAGGAAGAUUGCUGGAGCUGCUUGGAGCCCGACAACACUUUCUGGUCAUCGCGCUGAGGAUCUUGUUAUCCAUUCCGGCAGCUAUGUCCACUAAACCUGAACCGACCAAGUUUGUUGGUGACAGGAGGUCUUGGCAGGUAGACGCGUUCACCAGAGCAGUUUCCACCUGGAGCAAAGGUCGGUCUUCAAGUUCCUUAAUCAAACCCCACGACUCUGAAAAAGUAAACAAGGUUAAAGAACCCAAUAAGUGGCAAUUUGAGAAAGAAUAUAGGCAAAAAAUGAGCGACCUGGGGUGACAAAAUGCGUUGGAAGGUAAAUAUCACCACCAAGUGAACGAGCUACUGUACACCAAUUUUUUCCAGCAAAGAAGAAUUUGUUCUUUCAAUUUUUACACGAUGAGGGGAAGCCGGUGAUUGGCUUCCUCUUCACGGAGCUCGACAUGAAAUAGUACCAGCCUACUUCCUUCAGGCUACUCCUCAGCUGGUAUAAAUGCUUUACUUCAACAAGAGAGGGCUUCUCUGAUCUACACCUCUCCCAUAACACAUACAUAGCCGAAAGAACCCUCCACCCAUUUGGGUGUAGCUGACCUGGGGCCAGGUGCAUACCACCUAGUAUCUUGGCAAAGUAACGCUGAAGGGGCAUCCGAGCUUCUAGCUUGAAACUCUCCAGGUGCAUCGUCACAUACCCCCUCGGAGGCCGACUAGGAACGUCGCCUUUCCCAGGAACUACAAGAAGAACCUCCUCAGGAAUGUUGUAGAGAUUCCUAAGCUUGAACAAAUCAGUUGGGGUAGUGGCACAAGCUAUGUAUUCAAUAGGGUAAGAAUCCGCUUGCACCCUAUGGCUAAAGUUCCUUUUCUUAGGGGGUCUGCUUAGCUCGGAACUGCUCCCCUCACCAUCACCUACUUCUUCAGGGACCCCAACCCCACCAGAACUGUGAUUCUCACCCAAGCCCGACGCAGUGCCACCUCUGUUUCCUACAAGCUCUAAUUCAGGGGAGGGUGAAGUGGCCAUGGGACGAGGGUAUUCAGGGGUAUCCCUAUAACAGGAGGAACCUACACUGCGAGAGGAGUGUAGAAGGUCACUGAGUCCAAAUAAAUGGGGAUAUGAAUCCUCUAUCUCUUCAUCGCUCUCGACUACAAUUCUUUUUCCUCUUGGGUUGGACAUACUGAAGUUUAAAAAGGGAAAGCACAAAUAACUAAGAGUGUGGAUACAAAAAAGGGACAAACACAGAACCCACAAUACAAAACUCAAUCAACAACAACCAGAGAAGGGGUUGAAGGCUAUACUUGGAAUAGACUGGCACUGAUGAUGUUGCUGUGAUAGAGAAAAGACCCAGCAAAUGGAGAUCCCAGACGCGGAAAGUGUGAACGAAGUUCGAAGGAGUUGUCUUACGGCAGAGAAGCGAAUAGCAAAACAAGGAUGACUUUAGUUUAGGGAUUUGAAACGAAAAUGGGGAAAUGGAAGCGUUUGAGUGAUAGGAGUGCCAGCUCAUUCACCGUAUAUCGAGGAUGGAUAGCGCGUCGUUUCAAAUUUCAAAUACGAGGAGUCUGGAAAUGCCACGUCAAUAACCGUUAUAAAAGGCCAUACGAAACGCAAGCCCAGAUAUGCAAUGGACAUGCUCAUAAAGGCCCAUGCAUAGGUCAGAAUCUCUCUAGACGAAAAAUGGAACCUCAGGUCCAUCCCAGUAAACAGAAGACCAGAUGAGAAGUUCCCUAGAUCGAUGAGAUUUGAUUAUCAGUUUCUACUCUCAACCCGUUUCACUCGCAAGACUAGAAACUGGGGGACUGGCGUUAAGUAAAUAAGAGCACCAGCUCAGCCAUGCCAUCAUUCCCACCCCAGCAUGGAUCACCUCAGCCAAAUGGUACAAGUAGAACACUGAUAAUGAGUCUUCUACGAACAAGGGCCAACCAGAGAUGAGUAUCAGCCAGAGGAAUGUACCGACCAGAGACAAGUACCGAGCAGAUACCCAUUCCCCAAAGAUCGGGAACACGAUCUCACGAAAUCACGACAGUUGCGCUAUGCCUAGAACCGUUGAGGGAGACACGAUGUCCUACGUUUACCCACAAUGUAGCAGUUGGAGUCCUAUAAGGAGCUGCCACUACCCGAGAUAAGAGGGGAUGAAGGAUAAAUGGAAACGUGGGACAGCUGCUAUAAAGAAGAAAGAAACUAAUGAAGAAAGGGACAGAAAAAUUGAGAGAAGGGAAAACUCUGCCAAAUUAAAACCAGACCAUUUUCAGUACAAACUGUGAGCCAAUUAUAAGCAACUUAUCGAAUCUUAAUUGCACCGUUUUCCCGUAAACACCUUGUGCUAACUUAGGCAUCAGAGGGUUUACGCCGGUAAAACCACCGGCGUCUUUGAUCCACUUUUGUGAACACAGGCUUAGUGAGACAAGGAAGGAUAACUCCAACUUCAGUGACUAGAGCGAUCGUUGAAGCAAGAAGAAAUUGACAUCCACACUAUCGACUACAUAAACGUUGGUGAAACGAUCUGAACGGGCAAAGGGCGAGCAGAUUUCAGCAUCAACACCUAACAUUACUCAAGGUUAAAUUAUGUAAAGGACGAUACUAUUUGCAUUCUAAAAAAUAGGAAAAAGAACACCUACAAUCCCAAGGUUUGGAGAAAUGACCAUUUAGAUCCUCGUAUUUUUAAUAAGAAAAACCAAGAUCCCUUUUGAGUAAAAUACCUUUGGCUCUAUUAACUCAAAAAAAAAAAAACAAAUUGACUCUAAUGUUUUAUAAUAAAAUAGAAAUAUAAUGUUAAAAUAAAUGUAACAACAUAUACAUAUUAAAACAAACAAUCUUAUACUAUAUUAAACUAAAUUUUAUAAUAAAUAGAAACGUAAUAUUAAAAUAAAUAUAUGAAUAUUAAAAUUAUUUAAAAUAUUAUAUAAAAUAAUUUUAAUAUUAUUUCAAUACAUUAGAUAUUUUAUUAAUUGUAACAUCUAUUUAACUCAAAGAUUUAUUUAAAAUUUUUAUAAUAAACACAAAUAUAUUGUUAAAAGAAUAUAAUCAUUUAUCCUUUUAAAAUUAUUUUAUAUAUUAAAAAAUUCUAAUCUUGUUACUUUACUAGAAAAUUUAACUAUUUAAAUUGUAUUUAUAUUUAUUAAAAAAAAUUAAAGUCAAUUUUUUUAGUUACUAUCUAUUAAAGAUAUAGGGAUGACAAUUAGCUUAUAUGGGUUGGAUCUACUCUGCUGCAGAUCCAGAUCCAUAAUAAAAAUCAAGAUCCGUAUCUGCUCCAGAUCCGUCAUGAAUUCAUAUAUUUCGCUCCAUAUCCAGAUCCAAAAAAGAAAUAUAUAUAUAUAUAUCUGCUCCAAAUCUUAAAAAAAAAUUAAAAUCUAAAUCUGCUCUAAAUCCGUCAUGAAUUCUAAAAUUCAGUAAUAAAAAUGUAAUAAUUUUUUAGAAUGAAAAUUGAAGGCUAAAAUAUAUUGAUAACAAAUAAAUUAUACAUUUUUUCUCAAAAAUAUAAUAAAUAUUAUAGCUUAUUCUUUUACAUCAAAACAACAAAUAAGAAAGAUAAUAAAAUAUCAUUCAAAAGUAAUUGCAGGAGUAAUAUCAAUCUAAUAUUUUAUUGUCUCCUUCAUCAUUCUAAUAUCCACGACACACGCACCCUCAUUCCUACAACAUUAGAUAAUGACAUAUAAAUUAAAUAUGAUUUAUAUUCAGUGCUUUAUUAUUUUUAUUAUGACCAUAUUUGACUAAAUAUAUGAAUAACUAUAUUCCUUAAAAAUUAUUUGGUCAAUAUAAUAAAAUAAAUUGCCAGGUUGUAUUACUUGGCUUGCAAUUUGAAUAUUGCAUGUACAUGCUUUGGGGAUGACUAACCUUUAAAUUUGCAAAACUAAUCUUUAAGUUUUAAGAGUUUAAAUGUAUGGUAAAUACCACUAAUAUGCUAUAAAUAAAAUAUAUUAUCAUUAUAAUUCCACAUUGUUAAGAGACUUUUAAAAUAAAAUAAAAUUAAAAGAUGAGUGGAUAUGGAUAGGAUUUAGAUAUUGAGAUAGAUCCAGACCUGCUCUAGAUCCGUGUUAGAUCUGUACAUCGAUAUCUAAAUCUGAUCUAAAUUUAUUUUAAACCGACCCAAAUCCGAUCCGAUUGGAUUUGGACCACGUGGAUCUUGGGUCUAAUCCAAUCCAUUGCCAUCCCUAUAAAGAUAUUAUAGUAAAAAAGAAUUAUUGGUGUCCCUUAUGGAAAUCUUAGGGUCUACAUGAUCAUAUUUUUAAAUCUUGAGAAUGUAGUCAUCCUUUUUCCUUUAAAAUAUUAGUUUUUCUCUAUGCACUCCAUUGAAACCAAGAUGGAUUGCUCCUUGAAACUAAGCUGAGGUGCCAACGUUUAUCAAAGAUACCAAAGCCUACUGCAGCUAAAUUAAUUACUAUUUAAAUUAAUUAUCUUUAUUUACUUUGAAAGACUCAAAUAACAUUGAAUCCAUCAAAGUAAUUAAUCAAAUAAUUACCUUUCUCUAUCAUAAUUUGUAAUUAAGAAAGAUUGAUUGUCAAUCAACAUAAAGAUUGAUUGACUUAAUAAUUGCUAAUCAAUCAUUAUUUUCAGAUUAUGUUAAUUGUAUCAUUUCCUUUUUCAUGUUUCAAAUUAUAUAAAUUGAACUUUUGUUCUCAUGAAUUAAUAAUUAAGAGUGAAAUUUAUAUUUUUUGUAUUGUUUUUGAAAAGUUUUCACAAGAGACACUGAAAAAUAAAAAAGUGGGUGAUGAUUUGAGAGAGAGUCCAAAUGUUUGAGAAUCUACAACAUUAGAUAAUGACAUAUAAAUUAAAUAUGAUUUAUAUUCAGUGCUUUAUUAUUUUUAUUAUGACCAUAUUUGACUAAAUAUAUGAAUAACUAUAUUCCUUAAAAAUUAUUUGGUCAAUAUAAUAAAAUAAAUUGCCAGGUUGUAUUACUUGGCUUGCAAUUUGAAUAUUGCAUGUACAUGCUUUGGGGAUGACUAACCUUUAAAUUUGCAAAACUAAUCUUUAAGUUUUAAGAGUUUAAAUGUAUGGUAAAUACCACUAAUAUGCUAUAAAUAAAAUAUAUUAUCAUUAUAAUUCCACAUUGUUAAGAGACUUUUAAAAUAAAAUAAAAUUAAAAGAUGAGUGGAUAUGGAUAGGAUUUAGAUAUUGAGAUAGAUCCAGACCUGCUCUAGAUCCGUGUUAGAUCUGUACAUCGAUAUCUAAAUCUGAUCUAAAUUUAUUUUAAACCGACCCAAAUCCGAUCCGAUUGGAUUUGGACCACGUGGAUCUUGGGUCUAAUCCAAUCCAUUGCCAUCCCUAUAAAGAUAUUAUAGUAAAAAAGAAUUAUUGGUGUCCCUUAUGGAAAUCUUAGGGUCUACAUGAUCAUAUUUUUAAAUCUUGAGAAUGUAGUCAUCCUUUUUCCUUUAAAAUAUUAGUUUUUCUCUAUGCACUCCAUUGAAACCAAGAUGGAUUGCUCCUUGAAACUAAGCUGAGGUGCCAACGUUUAUCAAAGAUACCAAAGCCUACUGCAGCUAAAUUAAUUACUAUUUAAAUUAAUUAUCUUUAUUUACUUUGAAAGACUCAAAUAACAUUGAAUCCAUCAAAGUAAUUAAUCAAAUAAUUACCUUUCUCUAUCAUAAUUUGUAAUUAAGAAAGAUUGAUUGUCAAUCAACAUAAAGAUUGAUUGACUUAAUAAUUGCUAAUCAAUCAUUAUUUUCAGAUUAUGUUAAUUGUAUCAUUUCCUUUUUCAUGUUUCAAAUUAUAUAAAUUGAACUUUUGUUCUCAUGAAUUAAUAAUUAAGAGUGAAAUUUAUAUUUUUUGUAUUGUUUUUGAAAAGUUUUCACAAGAGACACUGAAAAAUAAAAAAGUGGGUGAUGAUUUGAGAGAGAGUCCAAAUGUUUGAGAAUAUGAUAUUUAUCUAAUGGAGGCUAAAAUUAUAUCAUUGGUCCACUGGUAGGCUUUUUGGUGAAAAAGAAAGUGCAUAAGAGUAUUGUUAGGUAUCUUAACAUUCAACUGAUGUGAUAUUUAUCUAUUGGAUAGUAGUUAAGUAAUUUUAUAAAAUAUGAAAUCCAUCACCUAAUAGAUAGUGACACAUGGCAUUGGAAUUUAAAUUGGGACUCAAAUGUUGGGAUCCCUAAUUUAGAAUUUGAUAUAAUGCUUAGAUAUCAAAAGAGUAGAAUAUUUUGAGAGUUUUAUGUCACAUUUAGCAAAAAAAUCAAGAAUAUUCCUUAGCACAAUCGUAUUCUUUCCAUAAACUUGUAUGCCCAAUCUUGGCUAUGGAUUUCCAAGCCCAUAAAAUAUAGUAAACUCUUGCAUACGACAUUUUUAUAUUGCUCCGAGUGUUGUGUUAAAAUGAUUAAUCUUGUGAUCAUUGUGCCUUAAUUAUAAUUAUUCACAUAUCCUUUAUUUAUUGGUUCAAAAUCAUUCCAAAUAAUUAUGAUAAAUUAUGUUCGGAUUGGUCUUUUUGUUAAAAUUAGUAUUGUUCAACAAUUUUUUUAUUGAUAACUUUUGUUAUUGCUACAACUCGAUAGAAGAGACUUGCGAGGAAAGAAGUACACUCUCCAAAUUGUAUCGAGCUGCAUUAGAUGAUGAUUGGCAGACAGCUGAAACUAUUUUUGACUCGCAUGAAGAUUACGUGAAAGCUUCUCUCUCAAAGCUAGGGGAAACGGCUCUCCACGUUGCAGCUUCUGCAGGCCGCAUUGAUUUUGUGAAAAAUCUGUUAGGGUACUCACCCCAGGUUUUAAAACUCACGGAUUAUUUUGGACAGACAGCUCUUUCUUUAGCGGCAGCAUCCGGAAACUUGGAUCUUGUCCAGUUAAUGACUGAGGAUAACGAACACUUGGCACUUGAUCGAGAAAGCGUUGACCAAUAUUUGCCAAUUCACGCAGGAGCGAUGUCAGGCCAUAAGGAGGUGGUACUGUACCUUUAUUCAAUCACUGAAGGUCAAUUAGACAAUAAGGAUCUCAUUGAAUUGCUCAUCAUUCUUAUAAAAACCGAUUUAUAUGGUAAGCACUACCUUUCUUUCUUUUCGUUUUUUUCCCUCCUUUUUGACGAUAUGGUGAUAGGAUAAAUUCAUAAAUAUCAGAUAAAUUCAUAGGAUCAUUUCUUAAAUUUCUUAGAUAUCAUUGGACAUACGCAACAAUUAUAGAAAACUAAUUUGCUGUUUGUUUUUUAGCUUGAAGUUUGAAUUUAACUUUUUUCAUACAUUUAUUUAUUUUAAGUUUGAACCUUUCUGCUGUACCGUACAUCCGCCAACAGUGUUGACUUUAUAAUAAAAUUUGAUGUUAUAAUUACCUCUUUUAUUAAAAAAUUAUAUUAAGAUCAACAAUGAUAGUAUUUUUUUUAAUGUUAGAAAACUAAUCAACUUGUGAAAAUUAUAAAUUGUGAAGAACAAAUAUAUUCACCACUUAAAAAGAUAUUUAUGUCAAACUAUUAGCUUUUAAGUUUUUCUCUUCAGAUGUUGAAAAAGAAAAAAACUAACAUGUCAUUCAAACAUCUUCAUUCAGACCUAUUAAGACUUCAACUAAAUUCAUACUUAUUCAGAUUUCAGAUAAAAAACAAACGCAACCUAAGAAUCAUUUGAGUGGCGGCAGAAGAAAGAUAGAGGAAUUUAAGAUAAUUAAUGUUAUAACUACAAAUUAAUGUAAAUUAUUUUUUUCACAAAUUGAUGUGGCAUUACAUGAUUGGUUGAAGGAAAAUAUAAAAUAUUAAAAAUAAAUUAUGUGGACUAGGUGAUAUCUUUAUUGGAUCACUCAUGUGAUCCCACAUCAAUUUGUAUGAAAAAAUUUAUAAUUGUAUCAUUUAAGAAAUAACUAAUAUUAAGAAUUUUAUUAUUAUUAUGCCUAUAUAUAUAUAUAUAUAUAACUUGUAGCUUUAACGUUAUUGUUUUUCAUAAAUUCUCUCGGUUUUGUACAAGGAAUGCCUUAAUUUCUCGUCAUGGACUAGGAUUUAACAAAUAAAUAAGCCAAGUGAAAACCUUCAUGGUAUAUGUCAUAUAUAUAGUCUGCAGAAAUCAAUUGUAAUGAUAUAGCUACAAAUAAUUUUAUACAAAAUAAUAUGGCAUACUAUCAUCAAUUAAUAAAAAUAUUGCUUGAUUCACAUGAUUUAUUUUUAUCUAACCAAUGAUACCACGCCACAUCAGCGGAAAUAAUUUAUAGAAGAAUUUGUGACUGUUAUAUUAGUCAUUUUGAGUACGAAAAAGAAAUAUCAAUGCAAAUUUAUAUAUCCGGUGUUUGCUGCACCCAGAGGUUGCGUUGCGAUUAUUUAAGGAUCACCCGCAGUUAGCGACUCUUCGUGAUUCAAACGAGGAGACUGCAUUGCACGCCUUAGCAGGAAAGUCAAUGAUGUCUUCUUACUUGGCUAAUCAAAAUCAGCAAGGGAUGCUUCAGAAUUUCUUCAGCUCAGGUAAGUUCACUAAACUGUAAGACCUUCGGCAUGCCCUUGCUUGCUUAUGCUGCUUUCACAAACAAAAUUUUACAUUUCAUUUUACAAAUAUAUAUGAUUUAGAAAAUGAGGAACAUUAGAGUAGGACUAUAUAUAUAUCUAUAUAUUUUGGUCGAACAUACAUAGUAUAUUUGCGUAGGGUUUAACAUAAGAGUUAGUCAGAAUUCGUAUUUGUCAGUCUCUAAUUAGGUUCCCAUUUUAUUAAAAUAAGGAAUAUCUUAUUAGAAGGGGAUUCUAUUUAUAUAUUUAAUAUGUCUAGGGGAAUUUGUUUUUGGGGUAGGGAAUGAAUUUCCAUAAUGCUCCUCCAGCAUUUUUAUCUCACUAUCAAGUUGUCUGUAGCUAAUGUUGGCUCAACAAAACUUUCACUUUCACAUACCGUGCUCGAGCAAGCGAUUACGCUGGUAGAAAUCAUUUGGAAAGAAGUCAUACGGUCGCAAGACUCAGAAAUUUCGACAUUAAUUGAACGACCAUUUCAACUAACAUUUGUUGCUGCCGAGAAAGGGAACAUCGAGUUUCUAAGAGUACUUAUCCGUGAAUAUCCUUAUAUAAUAUCGAAACAUGACGACAUGGGUCGUACCAUGUUUCAUAUUGCAGUUUUGAAUCAUCAAGUGAAAAUCUUGGAGCUCAUAAAUGAGAUGGGUUCAAUGAAAGAUAGGAUCGUUUCGAGAAGAGAUUACGGAGGAAACAAUAUACUGCAUAUGGCUGGAAUGCAACCAAGCAAUGAGGGGCCCAACGUUGUAUUCGGAGCAGUUCUCCAACUGCAACAAGAGGUACUUUGGUUUAAGGUGAGUAUUCAGGCUACUCUUCUGCGUAAAAAGUAAAAAGCUUGUUUUCUUUACCUCAUUCAAAAACUGUUUUGUGACAUCGAAAGCAGAAAGUGAGUGAGAUUGUGCGGCCAGUGGAUGCUGAAGCUAGAAACUAUGGUUUACAAACGCCUAGAGAAUUAUUCACUCAGAGUCACCGAAGUUUAAUUGAAGAUGGGCAAAAAUGGAUGAGGGAAACUGCAGAUUCAUGCAUGGUUGUCGCUACACUAGUUGCCACAGUGGUUUUUGCUGCAGCUUUCACCAUACCGGGUGGCAAUAAAGGAGAUACAGGAGUUCCUAUUUUUAUUGAAGAGGCUUCCUUUAUAGCGUUUGCCAUAUCAGAUGCAGUAGGGCUGGUAUUCUCUGCAACAUCAAUACUAACUUUCUUGUCCAUUCGUAGUUCCGUCUAUUCAGAGGAGGACUUCCUCUGGCGGGUGCCCGGGAGUUUAGCGUCUGGACUUGCAUCACUUUUUAUGUCAAUAGCAGCAAUGAUGGUGGUCUUUUGCGCAACUUCUUUCACUAUUUUUCACGGCCGAUUGCCAUGGCUUCCUGUUCUUGUUACCGUGAUUUCCUCUAUACCAGUCCUCCUGUUCAUUCGGCAAUAUCACCGUUUCUUUGCUAAUACUUUGGGUGUGCUCCAGUUAUCUUCUUUCGUGUAGCUGUUGGAAUUUUAUAUGGAAAGUUUAAAAUUCUAAUGUCCCACAUUGGAGGAAAUUAAGAGCAAUUAUUUUUGUUUCAUUUAAAAUUAAUCAUGUGUUUGAUUUAAUUACAAACUAGAGUUGAAGAUUUAAUUACAAACUAAAGUUGAAUAAGUCAAAUACUCAAAUCUACAACUGUCUCGCAUUUUGCUUCAUCAGUUUCCUUUUUGAAUUUGCUGAUCUAAACUGUUGUUCUUGAAGCGCACAACAAUGUCAUUGUGUCUUGAAUGUCAAUUCACUUUGCUCAACCGUCACAAUUUUCAUCUAAUUUCAAGAAAAAUAUAUUUUUAAUGACUUUUUUUUUUAAGAACCGUAAUUAAAUGUUGACAUUUAAUGACAAUUUUGUGUCACAACCGUCAUCUUUUUGUUGUUGAUUACAAAAAAUUAUUAUUAUUAUUAUUAUAAUAAUUUGUAAUUUAAAAGCCAUUUGAACCCUCUGUUUCAAUUGUAAUUUUCUAUUAAAUUCACUCAAAUGUCUCAUGUACACAGGAUAGCUUUACAAAAAAAAAAAAAAAAAAAAAAAACUUUANNNNNNNNNNNNNNNNNNNNNNNNNNNNNNNNNNNNNNNNNNNNNNNNNNNNNNNNNNNNNNNNNNNNNNNNNNNNNNNNNNNNNNNNNNNNNNNNNNNNNNNNNNNNNNNNNNNNNNNNNNNNNNNNNNNNNNNNNNNNNNNNNNNNNNNNNNNNNNNNNNNNNNNNNNNNNNNNNNNNNNNNNNNNNNNNNNNNNNNNNNNNNNNNNNNNNNNNNNNNNNNNNNNNNNNNNNNNNNNNNNNNNNNNNNNNNNNNNNNNNNNNNNNNNNNNNNNNNNNNNNNNNNNNNNNNNNNNNNNNNNNNNNNNNNNNNNNNNNNNNNNNNNNNNNNNNNNNNNNNNNNNNNNNNNNNNNNNNNNNNNNNNNNNNNNNNNNNNNNNNNNNNNNNNNNNNNNNNNNNNNNNNNNNNNNNNNNNNNNNNNNNNNNNNNNNNNNNNNNNNNNNNNNNNNNNNNNUUAAAAAAAAAAAAAAAAAAAAAAAAACUUUAACGAUCAUUAACAUGCAAUAGAGUACAAAUUAGCUUCUUUAUUAAAAUUUCCAUAACUUUACCAUUUCAAGCCUAAGAUUUACUACCUCGUAACCAAAAAAUUAACAUGGUUAGAUGUUGUCUUGUAAAAAUAUGUUAAUUACCAAAGGGAGAAAAAUUAGUAUGUAAAUAAUAGAAAAAAAUAUAUAAACAUGUAGAUUUACAGAAGAUAUAAAUGCAAGUUAUUUGAUGAUUAAAUAAAUUUAGUUCGUAGUUGAUAAAUAAAGUUGGACACUUUAUUUAGGUAUAGACUGUAAUAAAUUCAUUGAAUAAUUGUCUUAAUCAUAUAUGAAUUUAUUGAUGUAGUACGACUACAUUGAACAUGAUCACAUAUGAGAUUUAAUUAACUUUAUAAUAAUUGUCAGACUUAUUAAAUCUCAUAAGCACUGAUUUUACUGUAAUCUUAAUCUUGAGUUAGUUAUAAUUUCAUGAUUGUAAUUGUUAUUCAAUUUGAGUUACCAAUGGGCAUGAUACACACAUGUAGUCAAGAUUACCCGAUAUCUUAGUGAGAGCAAUUAUGAGUAUUGAAGUUAUAGAUUAACAAUAUAGAAUUUGUACAAUACAUCUCUUGAUGGGUUUUCGGCACUUGACUAUAGAAUUCUCUGGCCAUAGUGUGUCAACAUAUUUAGUAUGUUGAAAAUGAUCAUUAGAGAAAAUUAGUAAGUAUCAAGGAAUAAGAUGUAAUUAAAUUGAUUGGAUAGUUGAGAUAUCGAUUUAAUUAACGAUGUGGUACAAAUGAUUAUGCAGUAAAUAGAUCAAUGUGGCUUGGGGAGAAUUAUUAUUCAAACAUACAAUUAUGGAGGUCAGUUCCAAUAUUAUAGUGAAGUAGAGUUGGAAUUAAAUGAUUAGGCUUGUUCAUUUACAAGUUUUAUUGUUGUAGCCACUAUUGUAUGUUUCCAAAUUAUCCCCAAGUUAACUCAUUUGAUUGACUGCACCACUACUGAACGUAAAAAUUAGAAAACUGGCAUGUUAGGUGAUAAACCUAAUUAUAAUAUUUGUUAAGAUCUUAUGUGUUAUAUUCAUGUGCAAAUGGUGUCUUGUGUUAUUUUACAAGGUGGGCCCCAAAGUGGUUACACAUGAUUUUCACUUUCACUUAAGUAGAGAGAUAAUAUUAAAUUCAAAAUAUUUAUUAUUUUGAAUUAUAAUAAAGGAUAAUACAUAUCUAGGUUUAACAAAAGAUAUUAUAUAAAUGUAUUUUUCUCAAGCCUAAAGAGGUAUGUGAUUCAAAAUACACGUUUUGAGGAAAAAAAACACACAAAAGAAGAAGCCAACUGUUUUGCAAGUAGUGAAACGGACGCCCACACGUCAAGUACUAAUCAACUUGAGUCAUAACUUAAAAGAUUAUUUGGUGAUAGAUCGUGAUCUAACAAACGUGGUGGUGACGGAUCGUGAUCUGAGAGCCUAGAUUAAUUUUGAUUGUUCAUCUUCUCAGAUUGUUAAGGUAUGAUUUUUUAAAUUACGAAUUCUUAUAUAUUAUAUGAGAUCGGUCUUAAAAGUUUUUAUGAGAAAAAAUGAUUUUUUUAUCCAACAGAUGCUACACAAAUAAAUAACAUAAAAAAAUGAUAAUCAUCUAGUCAGUGCAGGAGAAGAACACUACAUUUUUUCAACCAAAACUAAUAAAAAAAGACACAAACCGUCACCAAAUCCAAAAUAAUGUAUCAACUAUAUAUCUUCAAGGAGACAAAGUACGUACGAACCAAUUAUAAAGAUUGCUUCCGAGAAGGCUCUUCCUGUUAAAUUGAUGAGUUGUAUUAUUUUUCUCCCAUUUGUUAGAACAUAAAAUCUAAUGCAUUAAAUGACAAUAGAAUCACCGGUCCACUCAUUGCAUCUUGUGAAGUCAAUGUCCGUAUCAAACUUGAUGAUUCAAGGCCAGCUUCUCAUAGAGCAGAAAUAGUAAAAAUACAAGAACCAAUUUUCUAGUCAUUGACAUAUUUAAGUACAGAUUAUAAAUAAACUGCUAAGCCUUGCCCUUCUACUGAUGGAACAAGAAUUUGUAACUUGGUGAGAUCUCAGCUUUUCAGUAAUGAAAAUCUCAAGCUACCAAAAACAGUAGAUUUAAUCUACACUCUUAUGCACCGUUGCUAAAGAAAUUAGAAGGAGCGCUUUUCAAAUCUAUACAAAAUCACAACUGGAGAGUAACAUUGUAUUGUUGGCCAAAAGUUAUCAGGCAGCUACCUUACAGAAAAUUUGAGUCGGUUGACCAGCGAAAGGUGCGUUGUAAAUUGGUAGGCGGAUACAUAAUUUUGAUUUUAUGUUUGUAAUUAAAUUUUCAUGCUUAGAAUUUUGAUUUUAUGUCUAUUUUGAUUAAGUCCACAUGAUGAGGGAUAUUUUUCUUUUUCCUAAUUAAUAAAAAUACUUUCAAACUACAGAUGUUGGGGGAAAAAGUGUCCCAGCCGGACCAAAUUUCUAUCUGCCGUCCCAGCCUUUAAGUAAUAGCAAAUUUCACAGCAAAUCUUGACUGAAAACAAAAUAAAAAUAAUUUAAUUUCAAUGCAAAAAAAAAAAAAAAAGAUUAUGAUAUAGUCAGAAUUACACGUACAGGAGUAAAGUAUUAUAUCAUCUUUAAUUCCCGAUAUCCCCAAAUAGCUUCCUAUAAAUCUCAAAAUGCGGUAAAUUUCGACACAUACAUUACGGCUGUGUGCAGACAACCUCGGAACUGCUACCCCAAAUAAGAUUAAUUAUAUAAUUAAGUACAUUCAGGUACAUUGUACACGGGAUUCACUUAGAGGUAGCCUCUGCUCAUUAUUCUCAAUGGUGUACACAGUGGAUUUAUUUUUUAACACAAUGAUAAUCAUUUUUUUUUUAAAGGAAACGAUCAGCGUUUAAUUUUAAUAUAAUUUAAUAUCUUAGAAUGGUUAAUUGCAUCCAAUAACUUUUUGAUUGAAUUAGUCGACGCUUCUACCCUUAAUUCUAAGAUGGAGAGUUCGCAUUCCUCUAAUAAUUGUGAAAGUUUAUUGUAUUUGAUUUCUUAUGUAAAAUUUUAGUGGGCUUCAAUUAAAUGGAUUUUCAUUUAUUGUAUCAAGCUUUGAUAUAUUAGACUUUGAUUGUAUAAUUAUCUAUAUGGGGAUUUUAUUGUGUAGCAAAUAAUAUUCAAAAGAAAAAAAGUAUUUAACAAAUGGGUCAAAAGCCCUUGAAUAUAACUUUAUAAAAGUUAAAAUUGUAAAUAAAGAGGAUUUUAAAAGGGUGUCAAUAAUUCCACUCUUUUUUUUUUUUAAUUUUAAAAGGUAGGGGGUGGACAAGUUCAAAUACAGUUUUUACCCCCUUACCACCUUAAGAAUCGAACUUGAAUUUUGGUAGAAGUUACAGUUUCACUACAACCAACCCGACCACGCCCUCGAGGACAAAAAUUCCACUCUUAUAUAUACUAUUAGAAAAUUAAAGAAAAAUAGAGAAAUGCUUAGUUAAGAUCUUUAAGGUACUCUUCCUUUUACGGAAUAAACUUUAUUAAAGCGGCAUUAAUAAGUUUGGCAAUUUUCACCUAGUUUCAAUUUCUCUUUUCCGUUUCAACUCUUUUGAUCCUCCUAAUCUCCUUAUUAACUUUGAUUGAGUUUGACCAGUUCAUUGGGAUGAAAUUAUAUGAAGGAAAAAUGACACUUACACCCCUAAGGUUUGGGAAAAUGGUCACAAAAACCCCAAAUUUUUUAAUAAGGGACACUAAGGUCCCCUUUGACUAUAACACCAUUUGACUCUAUAAACCCAAAAAAAUUGACCCUAAAAUUUUAUAAUAAAUAUAAAUAUUACAUUAAAAUAAAUGUAAUAAUGUGUACAUUAUAAAAUAAUUUCAAUACUUUAUAUAAACUUAAUAUUUUAUAUUGGAGAUGAUUAAUUUUGUAUUCUGCUGUACGGCCAAGGCGGAUGUACGGUACAGCAGAAAUAAAUAUAAAAAUUUAAAAGUUUAGUAUUAUUUUAAAUGUUAAAAAUAAUUUAAUUUUAUUAGUCUACUAGAUGGAUUAUGUUAUUUAUAUUAAAGUUUUGUUAAUUUAAAAACUUUAUAGUAAAUUCUCAAGUUACUAUAUUCAAAUACUACUAUGGUCAAAAAGAGGUCUUCCUUUUUUUUAAAACUUGGGCAUCUUUGUAAUCAUUUUCUCAAAUCUUAGGGGUGUAAGUGUUAUUUUUUCUAAAAUGAAAAAUAACAUUAAAAUAUUAAUUUUUUUAUCAAGUGUGAGAUCUUCGAUUGAGAGCAUGUGAUAAAAUUAAUCAAGUUUCAAUUUUUUUUUCAAUUUUGAUGUACUUUGUAGAUACUAAUAAUUUGCUUUACAAAUAUUUUAUUAUUAAUUUUUUUUAUAAAUAAAUGAGUGUAAAGAAUAUUUUUUAUAAAUAAAUGAGUGUAAAAAUUAUUGUUAUAAUUUUUUCUUUUCAACGCAACAGCUGAAAGUAGCUUAGAACUUUAGUUAAAAAUGCCCAACCCAAGUCUGGGCCCCCAAUUACUACUAGAAAGCCCAAUCGUUCACCAAACUUUUCAUCAAAACAUCAACACUCGAGUUCAACGACAGAUUGAUUCCCGUUUUUUGCUCUUGUGGUCAAAUGGACGCGUCACAGAGCAACGACCGGAUUCCGAAUCCGAACCCGAGGGGUAAUAAUGGGAACUCGAUAACGUUGUCCACGCCGGUGUGGCCAACGAUCGACGGGCCGUUGGGUUUAACGGAAGACGAUUCAUUGAGCUACGCUCGCAAAUUCUAUCAGUUCGGUUUCGCACUGCUGCCGUUUCUUUGGGCUGUCAAUUGCUUCUACUUCUGGCCUGUUCUUCGCCACUCCGCCUCUUUCCCUCGUAUUCGCCACUGUAAGCUUUCCCAAUCGCUGUCGCUUCAUUUUGAUUUUAAGUUAUUUGCAUUGAAAUUUCGUUGUUGGGUAACAUUUUUUUUUAACCUACGCUGAGGUUUGGCUAAAUUAUAGAAAGGUUUUACUAGUUUUGAAAUUUUUCAUAUACGUCCUUGACAGUAUCUCAUUACAUUGUGAUGAAUCCUUUGGUCUAAUAGUAAAUUGAAAUCUUACAACCAAAUGUACUAUGUAUGUAACUGCUGUGCUUGUGCUUGUAUCCUCUGAUAUACAGGAUUAGCUUGUUGAGUCUUAAUAGUCUGGAUGGGUCUGUCCUCACUAUCAAAAGUAACUCCAUUGUUGUCUGUAACCGUUGGAGAAUUUGGGAGGUGGUUGAUUGGUAGAUUGGUUGAGUUAUAACAUCUUUGGCGAUGGUUUAUUUUUCAGAAGAAUAUAAUUUUUCAAAACAUACCAUUUCAUGUUUCAAUUUAUCAAGCCCGUAGACCUUAGACAGCUUGCUUGCUUACAAAAAUAGGAGGUUGGCAAGAGUUUAGUCCGAGUAUCCGUUCAUUUGAUUGUUGAUAGUAUAUAUGAUAUUGUGCUCUUAUUAAUACAUGAGCGAGACUAAUGAGUGGUUUGCUAUAGAAGUAGCACUCAAUACUUUGGUUAUUGGUGGUUUCUUGUUGCUUAGGCUCUUUAAGCUCUUCCAUUUUCAUGUAUGUUUGGGUGUUUGGGCCUAAUCGUAAUAGGUCAAUGACUCAAUGCUUACUUUAAGAGAAAAUACAGUUACUUGCUUUUUUAUGAUGCUAGCAUGAGAUUCUGUUUGCAUGCUGCCUCAACCACCACUCGCCAAGGACUUUGAUUUACGCGUCUCGUAUUUAGAUUACAAUAUAGUGUAAGCCAAGAGCGUUGUUGGGUAACAUUUUUUUUUAACCUACGCUGAGGUUUGGCUAAAUUAUAGAAAGGUUUUACUAGUUUUGAAAUUUUUCAUAUACGUCCUUGACAGUAUCUCAUUACAUUGUGAUGAAUCCUUUGGUCUAAUAGUAAAUUGAAAUCUUACAACCAAAUGUACUAUGUAUGUAACUGCUGUGCUUGUGCUUGUAUCCUCUGAUAUACAGGAUUAGCUUGUUGAGUCUUAAUAGUCUGGAUGGGUCUGUCCUCACUAUCAAAAGUAACUCCAUUGUUGUCUGUAACCGUUGGAGAAUUUGGGAGGUGGUUGAUUGGUAGAUUGGUUGAGUUAUAACAUCUUUGGCGAUGGUUUAUUUUUCAGAAGAAUAUAAUUUUUCAAAACAUACCAUUUCAUGUUUCAAUUUAUCAAGCCCGUAGACCUUAGACAGCUUGCUUGCUUACAAAAAUAGGAGGUUGGCAAGAGUUUAGUCCGAGUAUCCGUUCAUUUGAUUGUUGAUAGUAUAUAUGAUAUUGUGCUCUUAUUAAUACAUGAGCGAGACUAAUGAGUGGUUUGCUAUAGAAGUAGCACUCAAUACUUUGGUUAUUGGUGGUUUCUUGUUGCUUAGGCUCUUUAAGCUCUUCCAUUUUCAUGUAUGUUUGGGUGUUUGGGCCUAAUCGUAAUAGGUCAAUGACUCAAUGCUUACUUUAAGAGAAAAUACAGUUACUUGCUUUUUUAUGAUGCUAGCAUGAGAUUCUGUUUGCAUGCUGCCUCAACCACCACUCGCCAAGGACUUUGAUUUACGCGUCUCGUAUUUAGAUUACAAUAUAGUGUAAGCCAAGAGCGUAGCAGUUUUUCUGUAAUUAGUUUGUUGUAUUGAUUACAGAAAGGCACCCUUUCAGGAGAUGAAGUUGGGUGCAUCUGCAUUUUCGACAUGGAAGGCUACUUGUUGGCAUUAUUAUAUCACAUAUUAUAUAUUUUACACAUCUUCUCUCCCACGCUGUUCGUUUUGAUAACUGUAAGAUAUAUUCUUUUGUAGAUGUUCUUGGAUCAGCAGUUGGGUUUGCAGUCUUCACGGUUGUUUUACUCUCAUGGGCAUUGACAUUUGCCAUUGGAGGGGAGCACCUCUUCGGCUCUGUUUGGGAUAAACUAGUAAUGUAUAAUGUUGCUGAGAGAUUAGGCUUGACAGGUUGGAGCUAGUCAUAAACUAUUUCCAAGCUUAUGAGUCUUAAAACUCAUUUCCCUUGUCAUUGUAUAUAGUCUGUUUUUGAAACUUGAAACAACAUACAUUCAUGUUGGAGGUAAUGUUGAAGCCAUUUUUCUCAAUUAGUAAAAGAACCUUUCCUGUUGAAUCAAGUGGCAGAUUCAUGCUUUUAUCUGAAAAAUAAUGUAUCGUGGCAUGUAUUUUUUUUUUAUAAAAAAAAAAAUAAACAUGAGAACUCCUGAACCUUUCUUUCAUAUGUAUUAACUUCGUUCGAUAAAAAUUUGAGUAUUUUGAAUUUUGAAUUUUGAAAUUAGAAAUGGUUGCUUUAUUCUCAUCUGAUACGCUGCAAAAAUGCCUUGAAAAUGGGCAAUGUUAUGUGACCAAGCCAGUGACUCGCAAUAUGAAAAAACGCAGGCAUGAUCUGCUUCAAAUGAGUGUGUGUGCGUGUUUUAAGAAUCAAUAGAUGAAGUCUGGUCGGUUUUAAUCCGUUUUAUUGCUGUAAACAAAUUCACUCAAACGUUCGAUCAACUCAACUGAGCCAACCAUGCCUAACAAAAUAGGCCUUUUUUGUUUUUAUUUUUUAUUUUUUAUUUUUUUGGAAGGUAAAUAUGCCUUAUUGAAAAUAAAAAUAAAUUCGAAUUUUAUUUUCUCAAAUACCUAUAGUUUAAUUUACAGAAUAGAAACACAUAUAUAAAAAUGAAGCAUCUUCCCAUAAAUUUUUUUAUCCUAAAAAAUGUGUAUUUUUAAAAUUUUAUUUAUAAAAUACAUACAAAUCCUAAAAUUUUUAAUUAUUUUCUUCUUAUCUAUUUUCAUUACUUUAAACUACUAUAAUUUUCUCAAAAAAAUAUUUUUAUUUAAGUUUUUAAUUGAAAUUUCAUUUAAAAAUAAAAAUGAAUUAAAUAUUACAUUUGAUUGUUUAGGUAAUUUCAGUUAAAAGGGAAUUUAAUAAUUUAGAGAUGGCAAAGUAAUUCAGACCCAGCCUGAACUUGGAUAAACUCAAAUGAUCCUUGCUGGGUUCAACCCGUACUGCAUUUAAAUAAUAUGUCAAUCCGGUAUUAUUUUUUUGAACCUAGACACAUUCGGGUUCGGCUCCGGAUUCAGCUAAACCCGGACCUGCAUAUAUUUAUUUUUCAUAUAAAUAUAAGAAAUAAAAAUUUAAUGGAAAAAGAAUAAAUAAACCCUAAUUUACACUUUUGGCUUUUAGCUCAACACAGCCGCGACAUUUCUUCUCCUUUUCAUUUGCCAAAUUCAUCAAUUUAAAUCAUCAUCAUCAUCAAAUCGUCAUCAAUCAUCAUCAUCAUCAUCAAAAUUGUCAUCAAUCAUCAUCAAAGGCUUGAAUUCUCAGUAACUCUUGAACUCAUUCACGGUCACGGCCGGCGGAAGACGAUCACACACACGAAGUGAGGAAUUGGGAUUCAUGGACAUAGACGAAACAAUGACUAGUGGUACAAAUUCACUGGAUUUUCGUUCUCCAUCGCUAUUUGUGUUCUAUUUUGAUAUUAAUUUAGCUUUUGCUUCAUGAUGACAAGCUGACAAUCACAAAAUUUGAGUUUUGUUUUGCAGUUUUGCUUCAUUGUUUUGUUAUAUUCUUUAAUCAAAUUCUUCAAUGUGAUUUAAAUAUUACUCUUAUGUUGUGUUUACUUGUUGGAGUGGGAGUGAGAAGUGUGAAUUCCUCCCACUCCAACGUUUACUUACUUAAAAUGGGGAGGGAUUGGGAGUCCUAUUCCGUGGGCUCCACUCAUUUUUAGAGUGGGGAGUGAGAGUGGGACUCCCAUUGGGAGAGGUGGGAGUGGGAUUCCCACUCCCACCUCUCCCAUUUCUACCUUUUUUUUUAUUUUAUGUUUUAUAAUUAAUAAAAUAAAAUAAAUAAUAUUAUAUUUAUUUAAAUAAUAAUAUUAUAUUUAACUAAAUAAUAAUUUACAUUGAUUCUAAGUUAAAAUUAUUUUAAAAUAAUAUUAUUAUAUUAAUAGAGAAUUAAUAAAUAUAAUAUUAUUAUAUUUAUUUUAAAAAUAAUAGUACUAUAUUUAUUUAAUAAUAAUAAUAAAUACUUUAUUCUAAGAAAAUAUUAAUUUUGUACUAAAUAAUAUUAUAUUAUUAUUUUAUAUAAUAAUAAAUUUAAUAUAAUUAUAUUAAAUAAAAUAAAAUAACAUUUCAUUUUAUAUUAAAAUUACAAUUAAUAAUUUAUUGUUCAUAAUUAAGAAUAUUAAUAAUUAUAAUAAAUUUCUGCUGUACGGCCAAGGCGGAUGUACGGUACAGCAGCAGUAAAAGUUAAAAUGUAAGUAGUAAAUAUAGCUUCUAAUUUGGAAAUUUAAUAAAUUAAGUCCUUCAUUUUAAUUUUUAGUUUCAAUUUAAUGAACAUUAUGAACGAAUAAAAUUUGAAUUUUGCUCAUAUACAAUGGCUAAGAAGUCACAGGGAAAACAUAAUCCUUCCGGACCGAGGAUGGAAUCAAGUACAAUGAACGUACCUGCAUCCCAAACAUAUCCGCUACCGUAUCAAAAGUGCUUCAUAAUUUAUAAAUGUGAUGCAAGCUAUCAAAAGAAGGUUGAUGAAAUGACAAUUAAAAUUAUUCCAGAAAGACAUAUUCAAGAUUCAGGCAUUUCUUCUUCAACUUCGGAGGGAAUAUCAACAUAUGGUUCUGUAUGAGAGGUUUGGCCUUGAUCAGGUUGAGCCAUCAGGAUUUUGGUAAUAUCAGCAUAGGACUUUUCAGAGUCACUGGUGGAUGCUGAAGAUUCUGUGUCAGUCUCAGUAUGGCUGUCAGAAACAGCUAGAUUGGAAUCAGAAGUGUGGUCAUCCGUGGUAGAAGAGUGGGCGACUGUGUGAGCAGUAAAUUGGUUCAAGGGUUCUUUAUCUUUUGAUUGGGUAGGGACUGAUAAAGGAGCUGGUGGUGAUGUCGGUGUAAAAGUAGGAGAUGGUUGGCCAGGGAUGGUCAGAGAGGAAGGAUGAAGAGGGGGAGGUCGAGGCUGCGGUCUAGGUUUGGGUUUAGGUUUAGGUGGCGGUGGCAAAGGAUUGUCUCUGAAAAGAGUAUGAGUCAUGCCAAAUAACUUGGAAGGGUCAUAUUGUUUAAUAGGAGAGAGCAUAGAGGCAAAAGGAUGGUAAGUUGGACCGAUAGAAGGAAUAAGAGGUGAACUGGUGAAAAGGGUAGGUCUCUGUUUUUCUGCUGUACGGCCAAGGCGGAUGUACGGUACAGCAGAAAAGAAUAAAUAAACCCUAAUUUACACUUUUGGCUUUUAGCUCAACACAGCCGCGACAUUUCUUCUCCUUUUCAUUUGCCAAAUUCAUCAAUUUAAAUCAUCAUCAUCAUCAAAUCGUCAUCAAUCAUCAUCAUCAUCAUCAAAAUUGUCAUCAAUCAUCAUCAAAGGCUUGAAUUCUCAGUAACUCUUGAACUCAUUCACGGUCACGGCCGGCGGAAGACGAUCACACACACGAAGUGAGGAAUUGGGAUUCAUGGACAUAGACGAAACAAUGACUAGUGGUACAAAUUCCUGCUGUACGGCCAAGGCGGAUGUACGGUACAGCAGGGAACGGGUUACAUAAGGCAGAUAUUGUAUAAUUGUUCGGUUUUCCGCAAUUUUUUCCAUCCCUCUGUGUAAAUAACCCAAUAUUGGUUUUUUGUUGGGGCAAUCUUUGGCAUAGUGGCCUUUUCUCUUGCAGAUGAAACAUCUGCUUGAUUGCUUUCGUUUGAAUUCUCUGGAGGAGGAAGAUUUCUUUCUGAAGAACCGGUAGGGCUUUCGGGAUCUGCGAGGUUUGGAUGAAAAUUCUGGAGUUUUGAAUUUCCGAAAAUGCCGUUUUUUCUUUGAACUGCAAUCGCAAUCCUUUUUCUUGUGGCAUUUGAUCUGUAAAUAAGGCUUUUUGCAAGCACUGCGGAAAGGUUCUUUGUCUUUCAAACAGCAGUUGAAAAACUGUUUUUGCUCGCAAAGUUUGUCAAGGCAGGUUUUGGCAAGCUGGAAGAUUUUGCCAAGGGAGAUGUUGUCUAGGGAAAGAUAUGAUGCUGUAAGUUGUCUCUGGAUGUCAGGUUGGAGUUCUUCGGGGAGGGACUGCUGUACCGUACAUCCGCCUUGCGGCUCAUUGAAUCCAUUAAGCUUAUAGAACAGCAGGGACAUUCGCUUAUAAUGGAAGUCAAGAUCCUUAGCAUUGAGGGAGCAGCAUUUCAUGUUGAGGUAGUCUCGUCUGGCAGCUUCAAAGACUGCAGAAGGGUCUCCAAGGAAUUGAUCAUGAAGUACAGCAAGAGCACUUGAAACUUCUGGAAGGUCAACAAACUGUAACUGGCGAUAUUGUCCUAACGAAUCAAACCAAUCUCUUAGAGCACCCGUAAAACGAGUAGCAAAUUCUCUAAGGACGGAUUGAGUUGUUGCUCCUGUUCUUAGCAUCUGCAGGUCAAUCCAGGCAGACAUUUCAUUGAGUCGGUCACGCCAUUUAUGAGAUGGAAGAUCAUCAAAUGUGAACCAUGGACCAUUUGACGAUUUGUGACUGGGUGGAUUGGGCUGGGCUGGAGAAGGUUGGUUUGUGGCAGAAGAUUCAGGCAUUUCGUCUUCAACUUCGGAGGGAAUAUCAACAUAUGGUUCUGUAUGAGAGGUUUGGCCUUGAUCAGGUUGAGCCAUCAGGAUUUUAAUGAAAAAAAUUAUUAAUUUCAAGUGGAGUGCUGCAAAAAAAAAUUAUAUAUUUUUAAAAAAUGAAUAAAAAUGGUGGAUGAUGGAUAAUUUUUCUUCCUUUUGUUCAACUCUUCGGUUGACCAAAAAGUAGCGUCACCAGUUUCCAUGUUUGGGGCAAAGUUAUUUAGAAUCAAUAUUCUCCACGUUAUGCGAGGAAACAACAUCCUGAUCGUUUCUAAUAAAGGGACACGACAAGACUCCCGACAUUGGAGUUACCAUCCUUUAACUUUAGUGCUUUCCCUACUACUCUGGUUCUUUUCUUCCCUAGCCACCACCAUCCAAGGACUAAAUUGUGGAGCUUUUAUAGUCAUCUCCAGUUGGACCUUUCAUCACCGUUGUAUCCCCAUCAUCACCCUUUCCCUCCUUAUCAACAUUCAUGACCACUUUGGCCCAUAGAUUCUAAUACCAAUACAAUGAGUUUGUUUAAGUUGAUCUCCAAGGCAAUUCUCACAAACUUCCCUUUUGAAGCUAAUUCAGUAUUAUAAUUUAUUUUGAGCACAUUUCUUAUGACUUGACCAAGGAAUCUGAGAAUUCUCUUAUGAUAGUAAUGGAGAAGCAUUCCCAGAAGUCAGAAGACAAGCAACAAUAUAGUCGAUUUUUCCAUUCGAGCUAUCGAAUUGAGGUGACCAAACUUGAACGGUACAAAAUCUUCCAGGGCCCUUGAGUUAAAGCAAAUUGCGCGUCGUUAUGAUGAGGCUGGAGAGCCAUGUAAGAUAACAAGGGUGACAAAACCAAAUUCCAAGUAUCAAGGAUGAGGUCUAGACAUGUGACAUGGGCAUGCAGGAUGUGAAAGUCAUGCAUGCAAGGGAGUAAGAACUGAAGCAAUAUUCAUAGUUAUCGACUUAAAGUAGACGUUGGAGGAUUCAUAGCUUGUUUAGUUGCUGUAUUUAAAUUAUCUUGUGCUACUUGUUUUGUUGAACGAGUUAAUAGCUAGGUAGUUGCAUUUGUUUUGUAUUAUGUUAUUUGCUUAGUGGACGUACUAUGAGCCUCUAUUUUCGGUUGUAUAUCAGAGUAGUGGGUUGUGAUUAAAUGUAUAAAUAUGCUCUCGAGUUCAAUAAUAAGUCGGUCAGCAAAUUAUCUAAAUAUUAUCUUGUGGUUUAUUCUCAUCCAAAGAGAAUCAUACGCAUUGUAUAAGUGUAGUUCUGACUGGGACCUAUCAAUUGGUAUCAGAGUUGUGUUAUCUUGUUCAAAAACUUUGUUGUUCUCAUGACAACUAACAAAGAAAGGAUUGAAAAUUUAGAAGCGAGGCUUAGCGAACUUCAAGAUCAAAUGCAACAAAUGGAGAUUGGCAUUAAUGACAAACUACAUUAGCUCGAGGAGACCAUCAAUCGUAUGUCUGAGGCUUUCUUUUCAAACAAAGAAAGGUCCAGCCAUAACGUCAAUAAUCACCCUAGCCAUUCUUACAAGGAGAAUACUAAGGAGGAAGCUGGUGGAAGCCGUAUGAUUUUCUCAUAAAAAAUGGCUAAGCUUGAAUUUCCAAGGUACACUGGAGAUGAUCCUACGAAGUGGUUUAACAAAGUUUCCCAAUUUUUUGAAUACCAGGGAACAAAGGAGGCACAAAAGGUUGCAUUGGCAUCUUUUUCACCUUGAAGGUGAAGCCAACCAAUGGUGGUAAUAGCUGCACAAAGCCUAUAAAGAGGAGGGAAGAACGGUGACAUGGAGAGAUUUUGAAGAAGAAUUGUGGGCACAUUUCGGACCUACUAAUUGUGAAGAUUUUGAUGAAGCUCUGUCCAGGGUGAGAUAGGUAGGCACCUUACGUGAUUAUCAACCGGAGUUUGAGAGAUUAGGCAAUCGAGUUCAUGGUUGGACACAAAAAGCUUUAGUUGGAACUUUCAUGGGAGGUCUUAAUCCCGAGAUAUCUGAUGACAUUAGGAUGUUCAAGCCAAAGACUUUGAAAGAAGCAAUCAGUUUGGCACGUAUGCAAGAAGACCAAGUCCAACGCAAGUUUUCUCAACCACUCCUAGUUAGUGGAACACCAACAGCAUUGCAUGUCCAUGCACAGUCUCCAUCAACCUCUAAUGUCAAACACUUGACGUGGGAUGAGAUGCAAAGACGUCAUGCCCAAGGGCUUUGUUUUAACUGCCCUGAGAAGUUUAGUGUAGGUCACAAAUGUAUUGGCCCUCAAAUAUUGUUGCUUGAAGGAAGUACUGAAGCGAGAGAUAUUAUGUAUGAAGAAACUGAAAUUGUUGCGGAUGUUACCCCAACAGACCGUGCCAAACCAAAAAAUUCAUUCCAUUCCUUAUCGAAUCAUAGAGAAACCAAUGAAUCUAUUUUAAAAUAUAGACCUUGAGGACAAGAGUCCACUUCGAGGGGAGGGUAUUGAUGAGGCUGGAGAGCCAUGUAAGAUAACAAGGGUAACAAAACCAAAUUCCAAGUAUCAAGGAUGAGGUCUAGACGUGUGAUAUGGGCAUGCAGGACAUGAAAGUCAUGCAUGCAAGGGAGUAACAACCGGAGCAAUAUUCAUAGUUAUCGACUUAAAGUAGACGUUGGAGGAUUAAUAGCUUGUUUAGUUGCUGUAUUUAAAUUAUCUUGUACUACUUGUUUUGUUGAACGGGUUAAUAGCUAGGUAGUUGCAUUUGUUUUGUAUUAUGUUAUUUGCUUAGUGGACGUACUAUAAGCCUCUAUUUUCGGCUGUACAUCAAAGUAGUGGGCUGUGAUUAAAUGUAUAAAUGCGCUCUCGAGUUCAAUAAUAAAUCAGUCAGCAAAUUAUCUAAAUACUAUCUUGUGGUUUAUUCUCGCCCAAAGAGAAUCAUACGCAUUGUAUAAGUGUAGUUCUGACUGGGACCUAUCACGUCAACUGUUCUAAACUUGACUAGAAAUAAUCAUUUUCCAGAUCUAUGACCGUAAAGGAGUCUUGCCCAAAGAGAGUCUAGGCAGUUGCAUAAAACUUUGUAACCAAUCUGCCUCCCUAGGAGAUUAACAACAACAGUAGAUUACCAAGGUUUAAUAAGCCGUGCAAGAACCUCGUGGGAGAAUGAGAUAGAUGGCAAAGUUCCAUCCAUUUCCAUGACAACAUCACCACUGUCAAAAUCCAAAUCGUCGUCCUUACCAACGAAAUCCUCUUCCACGAACAAAUGGUCCUCCAUUAAUUUAUCUUUGAUGGACAUUUGCUGUGGGUUGUCACCAUCGUCUCCUUCUGAGUGGAAUUUGGUCUUUUUUGUGGAACCGUCAUCCUCCAAGGGUGGGGGCAAAAUCUUUGCAAGUUAAGAGGAAAUCAUUUUUUCCCGUAUUGGUUGAGCCUUAACUCAACAUGAAAUGCUGCUCCCUCAAUGCUAAGGAUCUUGACUUCCAUUAUAAGCGAAUGUCCCUGCUGUUCUAUAAGCUUAAUGGAUUCAAUGAGCCGACAUUAAAGCAUGUCUUUCUGGCUUCCCUCCCCGAAGAACUCCAACCUGACAUCCAGAGACAACUUACAGCAUCCAAUCUUUCCCUAGACAACAUCUCCCUUGGCAAAAUCUUCCAGCUUGCCAAAACCUGCCUGCUGUACGGCCAAGGCGGAUGUACGGCUACUUGAAUGGUUCUCCCCCAUCCCAUGGUGGAGAAAGAAACUGCAACAACUGUCCGAAAUUUACAACCUUGACCGUAUGCCUGCCCCUGAAGCACAAAUGUUCACAUCAGUUUUUAUUAUUCACAGGCCAUACUUCCAACAUCCAGACACCCAUCUCUUUUGGACUCAAGAUCAGGUAUAUGAAUGGUUCACUGCACCACAUAUAGCUGUGAUUGAAAAUGACAUACAAGACGUCCUGCACAAUUACCUUUGCCAAUUAAACCACCAACCUCCGCCACUUAAAGAUAUCUCUCACACCUCCUUAGUGUGAUACCACCAACCUUAUCUGGUUUAUUGAAAGCAACCUCUGAUACCAGUUAUGGUGAAGUAGAUGAGAACGAUGAGAACAUCAUACAAGCCAGUGGUGGUGUGGGAUUUGAGAUUGGUGAUGGAAUCUCAGAUUUGCAAUGCUUUGCAAUCCAUGUGAGUUCUUUUCGGUAGAUGGGUAAUGGAGCCGGUGGAGGUGGAGGAUCUGAUGGUGGCUUAGGGUCAUAGUGGUGACAUGGGACAGGAGGUUUUUUCUUUUUGGGUUUCUUUUUCCUUGUGGUUGCGUAAUCAUCGUCUUCUUCCCAAUCAUCCCAGCAGGGACAAUUUGGGUCACACAUGCCGGAACCAGGGGCAUCCCAUAGGAAAUGGCCAUUGUGCUUGGCUGGAUAAACAGGGUAGCCUUGAGAAUUAAACCCUGUAAUGGGCAGAUCUUCCUGCGCUGUCUGAACAGCUGUGAUCAUUGAAGAAUAGGUAAAGGAGAGCCUAGGAGGCUCUUGUGGAGCACUGGGAGGUGGUUUAAAAGUCAUUCUGACUGUUCCAUCUUGUCGUCUUUCAAACAUGCUUUCAGAGGUCUGAAUUGGAGCUGUAUUGUUAUGGAACUGUUCAUAGUUGGAGAUCCAUUCAAGAGGCAUAAGCUUGAUGAGCUCAUGACGGGGAAUUUGUCGGGGAAUCUGGAUGAUUGUCGGGAUCUGGUCAGAUUCUGCUAACACCAUGAGGGUGUCAGAGUGGUGUUCUGGAGCGGGUAGAUCUAAGGCAUGAUUUUGAAGCCUGUAGACCAGUUGGUGAAUCAAACCAAUCUCUUAGAGCACCCGUAAAACGAGUAGCAAAUUCUCUAAGGACUGAUUGAGUUGUUGCUCCUGUUCUUAGCAUCUGCAGGUCAAUCCAGGCAGACAUUUCAUUGAGUCGGUCACGCCAUUUAUGAGAUGGAAGAUCAUCAAAUGUGAACCAUGGACCAUUUGACGAUUUUUGACUGGGUGGAUUGGGCUGGGCUGGAGAAGGUUGGUUUGUGGCAGAAGAUUCAGGCAUUUCUUCUUCAACUUCGGAGGGAAUAUCAACAUAUGGUUCUGUAUGAGAGGUUUGGCCUUGAUCAGGUUGAGCCAUCAGGAUUUUGGUAAUAUCAGCAUAGGACUUUUCAGAGUCACUGGUGGAUGCUGAAGAUUCUGAGUCGGUUUCGGUAUGGCUAUCUGAAACAGCUAGAUUUGAAUCAGAAGUUUGAUCGUCAGUAGAUGAAUGGAUGACUGCGUGAGCAGUAAAUUGGUUCAUGGGUUCUUUAUCUUUUGAUUGGGCAGGGACUGAUAAAGGAGCUGGUGGUGAUGUCGGUGUAAAAGUAGGAGAUGGUUGGCCAGGGAUGGUCAGAGAGGAAGGAUGAAGAGGGGGAGGUCGAGGCUGUGGUCUAGGUUUGGGUUUAGGUUUAGGUGGCGGUGGCAAAGGAUUGUCUCUGAAAAGAGUAUGAGUCAUGCCAAAUAACUUGGAAGGGUCAUAUUGUUUAAUAGGAGAGAGCAUAGAGGCAAAAGGAUGGUAAGUUGGACCGAUAGAAGGAAUAAGAGGUGAACUGGUGAAAAGGGUAGGUCUCUGUUUUUCAGAUUCAAUCUGAGCAAGUUCAGCUUUUAAUCGCCUGAUUUCCCUUUCUUUUUGGUCAAAUUCGGGACCAUUGUAUCUGUGGGCUAGCAUGGCUCGUAACUCUGAAUCGAGUUGGCCAAUUCUGGACUGGAGAUUUUGGUGGAUCUGCUGCAUCUGUGCAGAGAUGGAGUCAACCUUUGUCUCAAGCUGUUCAGUUCGUAAACUGAUUUUCUCAACUUUGGAAUUGAUAUUGACCAAAGUAUCAUUCUGUGCUCUAGCAUUUUGGGUUUGCCAGUUGAGGACUGAUUCAAAAGGUUUGGGAGGUUCUAGGUGGCCAGAUGAGGUAAUUGGUGAAGGGACAAAGGGUUUGGACACAACAUUUCGUUGAGAAUCUGUAUGGGGUUCCAAAGGAGGAAAGGAAGAAGAGUAAUCUGAAGAAGUAGAGGAAAACAUCAUACAAGCCAGUGGUUGGACGAUAGGUGUUGGGUGUGAGAGUGGUGAUGGAAUCGCAGAUUUGCAAUGUUUGGCAAUCCAUGUGAGUUCUUUUCGGUAGAUGGGUAAUGGAGCCGGUGGAGGUGGAGGAUCUGAUGGUGGUUUAGGGUCACAGUGGUGACAUGGGACAGGAGGUUUUUUCUUUUUGGGUUUCUUUUUCCUUGUGGUUGCGUAAUCAUCGUCUUCUUCCCAAUCAUCCCAGCAGGGACAAUUUGGGUCACACAUGCCGGAACCAGGGGCAUCCCAUAGGAAAUGGCCAUUGUGUUUGGCUGGAUAAACAGGGUAGCCUUGAGAAUUAAACCCUGUAAUGGGCAGAUCUUCCUGCGCUGUCUGAACAGCUGUGAUCAUUGAAGAAUAGGUAAAGGAGAGCCUAGGAGGCUCUUGUGGAGCACUGGGAGGUGGUUUAAAAGUCAUUCUGACUGUUCCAUCAUGUCGUCUUUCAAACAUGCCUUCAGAGGUCUGAAUUGGAGCUGUAUUGUUGUGGAACUGUUCAUAGUUGGAGAUCCAUUCAAGAGGCAUAAGCUUGAUGAGCUCAUGACGGGGAAUUUGUCGGGGAAUCUGGAUGAUUGUCGGGAUCUGGUCAGAUUCUGCUAACACCAUGAGGGUGUCAGAGUGGUGUUCUGGAGCGGGUAGAUCUAAGGCAUGAUUUUGAAGCCUGUAGACCAGUUGGUGAUGUAAAGUGGCAAUUUUUGCAGAAGAAAUUUGUUCAGCACCUUGAAUCUGAACUUGGACUUUCAAGGUUGUGGGCAAAUUGGGGUCUUGGAGAGAAAGAUUGAAAUUGGGAUAGAAAGUGAGUAAAACACUUCCUGCAUGAAGGGUUGUGAGGACAGUCUGCUGUACCGUACAUCCGCCUUGGCCGUACAGCAGAGCACUUGAAACUUCUGGAAGGUCAACAAACUGUAACUGGCGAUAUUGUCCUAACGAAUCAAACCAAUCUCUUAGAGCACCCGUAAAACGAGUAGCAAAUUCUCUAAGGACUGAUUGAGUUGUUGCUCCUGUUCUUAGCAUCUGCAGGUCAAUCCAGGCAGACAUUUCAUUGAGUCGGUCACGCCAUUUAUGAGAUGGAAGAUCAUCAAAUGUGAACCAUGGACCAUUUGACGAUUUUUGACUGGGUGGAUUGGGCUGGGCUGGAGAAGGUUGGUUUGUGGCAGAAGAUUCAGGCAUUUCUUCUUCAACUUCGGAGGGAAUAUCAACAUAUGGUUCUGUAUGAGAGGUUUGGCCUUGAUCAGGUUGAGCCAUCAGGAUUUUGGUAAUAUCAGCAUAGGACUUUUCAGAGUCACUGGUGGAUGCUGAAGAUUCUGAGUCGGUUUCGGUAUGGCUAUCUGAAACAGCUAGAUUUGAAUCAGAAGUUUGAUCGUCAGUAGAUGAAUGGAUGACUGCGUGAGCAGUAAAUUGGUUCAUGGGUUCUUUAUCUUUUGAUUGGGCAGGGACUGAUAAAGGAGCUGGUGGUGAGGUCGGUGUAAAAGUAGGAGAUGGUUGGCCAGGGAUGGUCAGAGAGGAAGGAUGAAGAGGGGGAGGUCGAGGCUGUGGUCUAGGUUUGGGUUUAGGUUUAGGUGGCGGUGGCAAAGGAUUGUCUCUGAAAAGAGUAUGAGUCAUGCCAAAUAACUUGGAAGGGUCAUAUUGUUUAAUAGGAGAGAGCAUAGAGGCAAAAGGAUGGUAAGUUGGACCGAUAGAAGGAAUAAGAGGUGAACUGGUGAAAAGGGUAGGUCUCUGUUUUUCAGAUUCAAUCUGAGCAAGUUCAGCUUUUAAUCGCCUGAUUUCCCUUUCCUUUUGGUCAAAUUCGGGACCAUUGUAUCUGUGGGCUAGCAUGGCUCGUAACUCUGAAUCGAGUUGGCCAAUUCUGGACUGGAGAUUUUGGUGGAUCUGCUGCAUCUGUGCAGAGAUGGAGUCAACCUUUGUCUCAAGCUGUUCAGUUCGUAAACUGAUUUUCUCAACUUUGGAAUUGAUAUUGACCAAAGUAUCAUUCUGUGCUCUAGCAUUUUGGGUUUGCCAGUUGAGGACUGAUUCAAAAGGUUUGGGAGGUUCUAGGUGGCCAGAUGAGGUAAUUGGUGAAGGGACAAAGGGUUUGGACACAACAUUUCGUUGAGAAUCUGUGUGGGUGUCUAAAGAAGGAAAAGAGGAAGAAUAGUCGGAUGAAGUAAGUGAGAACAUCAUACAAGCCAGUGGUGGUGUGGGAUUUGAGAUUGGUGAUGGAAUCUCAGAUUUGCAAUGCUUUGCAAUCCAUGUGAGUUCUUUUCGGUAGAUGGGUAAUGGAGCCGGUGGAGGUGGAGGAUCUGAUGGUGGCUUAGGGUCAUAGUGGUGACAUGGGACAGGAGGUUUUUUCUUUUUGGGUUUCUUUUUCCUUGUGGUUGCGUAAUCAUCGUCUUCUUCCCAAUCAUCCCAGCAGGGACAAUUUGGGUCACACAUGCCGGAACCAGGGGCAUCCCAUAGGAAAUGGCCAUUGUGNNNNNNNNNNNNNNNNNNNNNNNNNNNNNNNNNNNNNNNNNNNNNNNNNNNNNNNNNNNNNNNNNNNNNNNNNNNNNNNNNNNNNNNNNNNNNNNNNNNNNNNNNNNNNNNNNNNNNNNNNNNNNNNNNNNNNNNNNNNNNNNNNNNNNNNNNNNNNNNNNNNNNNNNNNNNNNNNNNNNNNNNNNNNNNNNNNNNNNNNNNNNNNNNNNNNNNNNNNNNNNNNNNNNNNNNNNNNNNNNNNNNNNNNNNNNNNNNNNNNNNNNNNNNNNNNNNNNNNNNNNNNNNNNNNNNNNNNNNNNNNNNNNNNNNNNNNNNNNNNNNNNNNNNNNNNNNNNNNNNNNNNNNNNNNNNNNNNNNNNNNNNNNNNNNNNNNNNNNNNNNNNNNNNNNNNNNNNNNNNNNNNNNNNNNNNNNNNNNNNNNNNNNNNNNNNNNNNNNNNNNNNNNNNNNNNNNNNNNNNNNNNNNNNNNNNNNNNNNNNNNNNNNNNNNNNNNNNNNNNNNNNNNNNNNNNNNNNNNNNNNNNNNNNNNNNNNNNNNNNNNNNNNNNNNNNNNNNNNNNNNNNNNNNNNNNNNNNNNNNNNNNNNNNNNNNNNNNNNNNNNNNNNNNNNNNNNNNNNNNNNNNNNNNNNNNNNNNNNNNNNNNNNNNNNNNNNNNNNNNNNNNNNNNNNNNNNNNNNNNNNNNNNNNNNNNNNNNNNNNNNNNNNNNNNNNNNNNNNNNNNNNNNNNNNNNNNNNNNNNNNNNNNNNNNNNNNNNNNNNNNNNNNNNNNNNNNNNNNNNNNNNNNNNNNNNNNNNNNNNNNNNNNNNNNNNNNNNNNNNNNNNNNNNNNNNNNNNNNNNNNNNNNNNNNNNNNNNNNNNNNNNNNNNNNNNNNNNNNNNNNNNNNNNNNNNNNNNNNNNNNNNNNNNNNNNNNNNNNNNNNNNNNNNNNNNNNNNNNNNNNNNNNNNNNNNNNNNNNNNNNNNNNNNNNNNNNNNNNNNNNNNNNNNNNNNNNNNNNNNNNNNNNNNNNNNNNNNNNNNNNNNNNNNNNNNNNNNNNNNNNNNNNNNNNNNNNNNNNNNNNNNNNNNNNNNNNNNNNNNNNNNNNNNNNNNNNNNNNNNNNNNNNNNNNNNNNNNNNNNNNNNNNNNNNNNNNNNNNNNNNNNNNNNNNNNNNNNNNNNNNNNNNNNNNNNNNNNNNNNNNNNNNNNNNNNNNNNNNNNNNNNNNNNNNNNNNNNNNNNNNNNNNNNNNNNNNNNNNNNNNNNNNNNNNNNNNNNNNNNNNNNNNNNNNNNNNNNNNNNNNNNNNNNNNNNNNNNNNNNNNNNNNNNNNNNNNNNNNNNNNNNNNNNNNNNNNNNNNNNNNNNNNNNNNNNNNNNNNNNNNNNNNNNNNNNNNNNNNNNNNNNNNNNNNNNNNNNNNNNNNNNNNNNNNNNNNNNNNNNNNNNNNNNNNNNNNNNNNNNNNNNNNNNNNNNNNNNNNNNNNNNNNNNNNNNNNNNNNNNNNNNNNNNNNNNNNNNNNNNNNNNNNNNNNNNNNNNNNNNNNNNNNNNNNNNNNNNNNNNNNNNNNNNNNNNNNNNNNNNNNNNNNNNNNNNNNNNNNNNNNNNNNNNNNNNNNNNNNNNNNNNNNNNNNNNNNNNNNNNNNNNNNNNNNNNNNNNNNNNNNNNNNNNNNNNNNNNNNNNNNNNNNNNNNNNNNNNNNNNNNNNNNNNNNNNNNNNNNNNNNNNNNNNNNNNNNNNNNNNNNNNNNNNNNNNNNNNNNNNNNNNNNNNNNNNNNNNNNNNNNNNNNNNNNNNNNNNNNNAGUGGUGACAUGGGACAGGAGGUUUUUUCUUUUUGGGUUUCUUUUUCCUUGUGGUUGCGUAAUCAUCGUCUUCUUCCCAAUCAUCCCAGCAGGGACAAUUUGGGUCACACAUGCCGGAACCAGGGGCAUCCCAUAGGAAAUGGCCAUUGUGUUUGGCUGGAUAAACAGGGUAGCCUUGAGAAUUAAACCCUGUAAUGGGCAGAUCUUCCUGCGCUGUCUGAACAGCUGUGAUCAUUGAAGAAUAGGUAAAGGAGAGCCUAGGAGGCUCUUGUGGAGCACUGGGAGGUGGUUUAAAAGUCAUUCUGACUGUUCCAUCAUGUCGUCUUUCAAACAUGCCUUCAGAGGUCUGAAUUGGAGCUGUAUUGUUGUGGAACUGUUCAUAGUUGGAGAUCCAUUCAAGAGGCAUAAGCUUGAUGAGCUCAUGACGGGGAAUUUGUCGGGGAAUCUGGAUGAUUGUCGGGAUCUGGUCAGAUUCUGCUAACACCAUGAGGGUGUCAGAGUGGUGUUCUGGAGCGGGUAGAUCUAAGGCAUGAUUUUGAAGCCUGUAGACCAGUUGGUGAUGUAAAGUGGCAAUUUUUGCAGAAGAAAUUUGUUCAGCACCUUGAAUCUGAACUUGGACUUUCAAGGUUGUGGGCAAAUUGGGGUCUUGGAGAGAAAGAUUGAAAUUGGGAUAGAAAGUGAGUAAAACACUUCCUGCAUGAAGGGUUGUGAGGACAGUACCGAUAACAGCAUCUUGGUACUGUUUAAACCGGGUAUCAAGCAUAGCAAGUCGAGCGGUAACCGGUAAUCCUUUUCUCCCAUGAAGGGUAAGGAUUAAUCUGAUGCCGCCAAGAUGGAGAUGAGUAUAACCUUCUCGUUUCCAGUUGGAGAGCAACUCGGAGGGAAUCUCCAGAGUGACAUAUUGCUCAGCAGAGGUGGCUUGAAGAGCACACUGAUCCAGGCGGGAAGACUGGAUGUAUUCUUUAGGGUGAGGGCGUCUGGUAGAGAUAAGGGUGCGGAUACUGCGGGUAAAGGAGCUAGGUCGUUUAUACAACUGAUAAGGGCUGAGGAGAGGGUAAGAAGAUUCACUGAUUUGGGCGGAUUCAGGGAUGUAGGAGUAUUCUACAAGAUUUUCAAUUUUAUUAGUAGUAUGAGAAGUGCAAGAUUUCGGUAAAGAAAGAGUGGAAGAAAGAGUAACAGGAGGUGAAGAGGAAGUGGAUGCCAUGAAGGAGAAGUUCUCUCUGCGCCUGAAGUUCUAGAGAUCAAAAUAGAAAAAGCCUUAAAUUAUACCAUUUUGGGCAAGAAAUCGUGAAUUUAGAAAACAUGAAAUUUUCAAGGAUGGGUAUGGCUCUGAUACCAGUUAUGGUGAAGUACGUGGCGUUGUUAUACCAGAACUACAACAGUUAAAACUGUUCUUUGGACCAGUAGUCCGCAAGAUCGGGUUUCCAGCCGAUAUACCUCUGUAAUAAAAAACCUUUAAAACAUUUUUCUCAGGUUAUACAACCCAAAACAGACUUUCCUUAUCUCUAAAACAGGGUACCAAACCAGAUAAGAAAUGAUCAAAAGUUUUCUGAUGCACAGGAUCCUUAGAAAAGGCAAGUGCAGGUACAGCAGAACAUGAAAUUUUCAAGGAUGGGUAUGGCUCUGAUACCAGUUAUGGUGAAGUACGUGGCGUUGUUAUACCAGAACUACAACAGUUAAGAACGUUCUUUGGACCAGUAGUCCGCAAGCUCGGGUUUCCAGCCGAUAUACCUCUGUAAUCAAAAACCUUUAAAACAUUUUUCUCAGGUUAUACAACCCAAAACAGACUUUCCUUUAGUCUAAAACAGGGUACCAAACCAGAUAAGAAAUGAUCAAAAGUUUUCUGAUGCACAGGAUCCUUAGAAAAGGCAAGUGCAGAGCAUACUUCCUUAGGUUUUCAAAAUGAACAAAUUUAAUUCUUUAUUCUUUUUCUUUCUUAGGACUUCAUUUGCAGAGAGAGAGAAGAGUUUUAGGGAUGGAAGUUUGUAAGAAAUUUUAUAAUUAAAAAUUAUAAUUCUUUAAAUAAGGAUAAAAUUGUAAUUAGAAACUAUUUACUCCCAAUCUAAGAUAAAGUAAACACAUAAAUUGGAUUCUGAUCUCCAUUCCAUGCUUCCAUUCCAGUGUAAGUAAACAACCUAUUCCCACUCCACACUCCCAAUCUUAGGAUUCCCACUCUCAAAGAUUCCCAAUCCAAUUCAAAAAGUAAACGCUACCUUAUUUUCAUGUUGAAGCAAUCGGUGAUGGAAAAAAGUUGCAAGUUGAACACUGACAGUGCCCUUAGUGCCCUACCUCUGUUUUUCCAUUUGGAAACAAGCCUUAAAGUGGUGCUCAUCCGGGUUCAAAAUCCGGGUUUCAGAAACCCGAAUUUUUCGGAUUGAACUUGGACAAACCUGGACACGGACACGGACCCGGAUUUUGCGGAUAAGGAAUUUUGAGGGUUGUACUACAAAAAAAGUUGCACGACAUGGGGCUUAUGGAAAUUGGGCUUCAAUUCUGACCCAACAAAGGCCUAAUUUUUUUGAAUGGGCAACCUGGACUUCACUAUUUAUGUCAAAAAAGAAAUGCAUGCCAAUUCAAAAUUAGAAUUUUUAGGGCAAAGGAAAAUUUAUCAUCAAACUGAAAACAGAGACAGGUUAGAACUAGUGUGAUAGCUGAAAAACAUUAGAGGCCAAGUCCCCUUAUAUGUUACGCGGCUACAGGCAUGCGUGAUGCCUCUACUCUCACCGCUACUCUAAUCUUUAUUUAUUUUUGUUUUUAUUUCUUUUUUUAUUUUGUUUAUCUGGGCUCAUAUUGCCCAACUUAUGCUUUAGAAUUUCAGUUUAUUGAAUUGUAAGUUUGUAAAAUAUUAUAUUUUUCCAUUAAUUUAGAAUGAGUUAUAUAUUUAUCUCUAUUGGGUUUAUUGAAUACGGUUAUAUAUUUAUCUCUAUUGGGUUUAAUGUGUAAGUUGCAUAUAUUAACAUGAUAAUGGGGAAUGGACUUGACUCUUUAAGUGUCUGAACUUGAGGUUUGCUUCUUGUGGUUGUUUGUAAUGACCUUUUAAUGAAACUCCCAAAAUUGGUCUGGCCUUGUAUUUUUUGGUUCUCAGAUAAUAAAUUAGCAUGAAUAUUUACCAUACAUACCUAUCUCUAUUUGCCCGUUGAGGUUGGUAUUUGGACUAUGAGUGUAAAUUGGACCAACCCUUGUGCUGUUUCCGCAAAGGUUAAGUAGGGUUAAAGAAAUGCAUUAAUAAUUUCGAGGACGUUACAGGUGUGGUUUGUUAAUAUGAUUCUGGUCGGUUUGGUUAUUCCUUUCUCUUUUUGUAACAUGAGCUAAUUACUUGAUGAACUUUGUUUUUCUUUUCUAUAAAUAUUUCUGGAAAUGAAAAUUUUUUGGAGGAAAAUGAAUGUCUUUAUAGUUGGUUAGUACCCUGAUUAAGUGUGAGUUGAUAUAGUUGUGUAUACCACAUCUGUGUGGUGUGGUAUAUUAAAAUAGAUUGUCUUUUGAUUUUUUGGUUUGUGUGUGAAAAUUUGCAGAUAUGAAUCUAAAUGUAAAGCUGGUUCUAUAAUACAUUAACAAGAGGAGAUAGAGGAGAUGGAUAUAGUUGAAUCCUUAUUUGAUAUUCAAGUGCAAGAUCCGCCAGAGGAGGAUUUCUCUUCUAUUGAUUUGACAUGGACCAAGUUUGGCACGGCUGAGCACCAUGACGAAGUAGCACUAAUUCCUUAUGCACGAGUUGAUUCGUUUAUUAUUGGAGAGUGCUCUAAUGUAGAGUGCCCAACAAGGUUUCAUAUUGAGAGGGGAAGGAAAAGAUCAAGGGGAAGCUUGAAAGAGUAUAAGGACGAUGAAUAUUUGGAAUACAGGCUGUAAGUAUCGUAUUUGUAAAACGCACCGGUUACAUUCCUAUAUUUAAAGAAUACCAUAUUUCAAUGCUGGAAGAUGCAUAAAUUUUUUUCUCCCCCUCUCUAUUUUCUGGGAUUCGUAACUGUUCCAGUAGACAUACCAUAAAUUGAGAAGUUUGAAGUGUUAGCAUCUUUGCUCUGUAUGUCACUUCAAAGUAGGUGGCAUGACAACUUGGUAGAAACUUUGAUUUUUGUUCACCAUUUCUUGUUCAUUUUUUCCACCAAAACAUCUGAAUGUGGCCUUCAUUUUUAGUUAAGAGAUUAUCGACCAUAUAUAUGGUGUCAAUUUUCACUGCUUUUGAGACUAAGAGUAUAACUGGAAUUUAGCAGCUUAUAAUGGAUGAAAACACAUUUAAUUUAACCUUGCAUUGUAACUCUCAUUUUUUGUUGAAAAUAGACCAUGUGAGUACCUAAAAGUAGAUGGAUGUUAGUACACAUGCUCAACAAUUAUUAAUCCCUCAAUUUAAUAUUUUCUGACAUUUUUGUAUUGGUGUUCAUUUGGUCCUGAAAAUUAGUACACACGCUCAACAAGUUUUAAUCCCUUGAUAUUUUUGUAUUAUCUUUUAGGUAUUGGUGCUCUUUUGGUCCUGAAAAUUAUGGGGAAGGUGGUGGUGUGUUACCUAGUCGAAAAUAUCGACUAAAUACCCGAAAUCGUGCUGCCCGACCUCAGUCCAUGCGGGGCUGUACGUGCCAUUUUGUAGUGAAGAGGCUGUAUGCUCGUCCAUCACUAGCACUCCUUAUUUAUAAUGACAGGCGUCAUGUCAACAAGUCAGGUUUUAUCUGCCAUGGGCCCCUUGACAGAGAUGCUAUUGGCCCUGGAGCCAAGAAAAUUCCAUAUAUUUGUAAUGAAAUUCAACAGCAAACUAUGUCUAUGAUCUAUCUUGGCAUUCCUGAAGAGAGUGUGUUAGAGAAACACAUUGAGGGAAUUCAAAGAUAUUGUGGUUCUGAUGCAAAAGUCAAUAGCCUUGCUUCUCAGUAUGUCCAAAAGCUUGGGAUGAUUAUUAGGAGGUCUACCCAUGAGUUGGAUCUAGAUGAUCAAGCUAGCAUACGAUUGUGGGUUGAUCGCAAUAAGAAAUCCAUAUUCUUUUAUCAGGAUUCAUCGGAAACUGAUCCUUUCAUUCUUGGGAUUCAAACAGAAUGGCAGUUGCAACAGAUGAUCCGUUUUGGCCAUCGCAGUCUCAUUGCGGCUGAUUCAACAUUUGGCAUAAAGCGACUUAAGGUAUGCAAUUUCUUACGUGGAUAUAUGGUUAGCUUCAGAAGAAUUUAGGUGGAUGUUUAGUCCAUGUUCUGUCUAAUUUUGCAGUAUCCUUUGUGCACACUUCUCGUUUUCGAUUCAAGACAACACGCACUGCCAGUCGCAUGGGUUGUCACACGUAGCUCUGCGAAGCCUGAUGUGACUAAGUGGAUGAAAUCUCUGCUUGAUCGAGGUCGGAGCAUUGAACCUGGAUGGAAAAUCAGCGGGUUUCUGAUUGAUGAUGCAGCAGCAGAGAUUGAUCCCAUAAGGUAAGUCUUUUGCCAUGGAUUUCAUUAUGAAUUGAGAUUGUGCAAUUUUCCAUGCUCAUGCUUGGUUUCACUUCUGUUUUAGGGAAAUAUUUUGUUGUCCUGUCCUGUUUUCCCUAUGGCGUGUUCGUAGAUCAUGGCUGAGAAAUAUUGUUAAAAAAUGCACCAAUAUCAAAAUUCAGCGGGAAAUUUUCAAGCGUCUAGGAAAUAUAUUGUAUAGCAUAUGGGAUGGAGCUGAUCCUUUUGUUAACUUGGAAGUAUUAAUUCAGGAUUUUGUUGAUCAAACUGCCUUUAUAGAAUAUUUCAAGGCCUCCUGGAUGCCUAAGCUUGGUUAGAUCUCUCUCUCUCUCUCUCUCUCUCUCUCUCUCUCUCUUCCACACACACACUCACUCACAGAUAUAAACAGCUGUCUCACAUGGGUAUAUGCUUUCUCAUCUUGUUGAAAUCGUCUUAUACUUUACUAUUUUUAAUAGAAAAUAUUGCUAUGUUUAUCUUUUGAACAGCGAUGUGGCUGUCAACUAUGAGAGCUCUUCCACUUGCAAGUCAGGAGGCAUCUGGUGCCAUAGAGGCCUAUCAUGUGAAGCUGAAAACCAAAUUGUUCGAUGAUUCACAUCUUGGUGCACUCCAGAGAGUUGACUGGUUAGUACACAAGUUGACAACUGAGUUGCAUUCUAGCUACUGGCUUGAUCGAUAUGCAGAUGAAAGUGAUUCUUUCCAAAAUGUUAAGGAUGAAUAUAUUGCAUCUACAUCAUGGCAUCGCGCAAUGCAAAUUCCCAAUUCUGCUGUUACCUUGGAUGAUAAAGAGCAUCUCUUUGCCAGGGUCUCAAGCCAGAAAGACAGCAGUCUGACACAUCUAGUGUGGAAUCCUGGAUCAGAAUUUGCUUUUUGUGAUUGUGCAUGGUCAAUGCAAGGAAAUAUUUGCAAGCAUGUCGUCAAAGUCAAUAUGAUAUGUGGAAACAAUGAAGGAUAUCAGCCUUCCAUGUCUUUUCAGUCACUUAGAGAGGUACUGAUGAACUUGUGGAGAAAACCGAUGGAUGACUCAGUUGAGCUAGAUCUGUCGGUUGCCUGGACCCACAACAUGCUUGAUCAAAUUAAACAACUUGUUGAAUUGAGCAGUUCAGAUGAUAUAGGUGCGGUGGUUAAUAAUCUGCCUUUGAAAUGGGUUUCCAAGAAAGGCAGGACAUCUGUUGGUAUACCAUCAUCAACUCUGGCUCUUCCUUCGAGUUCUAAGAGCUCCACUGUACAUAAAAAGAACCGAAAACGAAAAAGAUUAUCAAGAUUAAGAUGAUUGCGUAGCUGGAAGCUAAAGAACUGCUUCAUAGAUAACUUUGACAUCUGAUAAUUGGAUUUUGCUGAUAGCAUUAUUUGAUUUUGGCUCCAGCUUAGACCAGCUUAACUCGUUUCCUGGUAGAGCUUUAAUCUCUCAAUUUUUUGUUUUCUUGAUUAGAAUAUACCAGACAACCACCAAAGAUAUAUAUUGAUAAAUGAUAUGGUUUCUUAAUGGUUUGAAAAAUGUAAAGAUGCUAUUGAAGAAAUUGAAGACGCAUCUAGGAAUAUGCUUUCUUGCAUAUUCAUCUUUGGGCAAGUUCCUGUGUAGAGGCAUCAUCGAAAAGGUAGCAAUCGAGAUCUCCUCCACACUUUUAGAUGGCUUUUACGAGCAUUUAACUUUUCUUGUGCUCCCGUUCCCUGUGUUUAUUUCUUUUGGCUAUUCUUUCUUUCUCAUCUGGAAAGCUCACAAAUAGGAGUAUGGGCAGAAUUCAUCUUAUAAUUGAUCAUUAUAUGAUUAUCAUUUUGGAAAGGAUUUGCGUACAGGAUGUAUAUAAACAUUUGAGAUGAUAAUAGAAUAAUUUUUCAUACAUGCAGACCAUUGUUCAGUGGAAUUUCUUCUAAUGUAUUUGAAACAUGUUAAAGUGUUAUGGUCCAUGUUCCAUCAAAGGCAUUGGAGAGGUAGGGUUUGAAAUUUUUAUAAACAGAUAUUUUUUUGUGUCAUUAGGUUAAUGUAGCUCAUGUACUAAACAGAUAAUACAGUAUAUUGUAUACUGUUUUUCAUGUUGAGGUCAUCGUGAUAGGGUUUGAAUCCUUGAUCCCUCUAAGUGGAUCGAUCAUGUACCAAUUGCUUGAAGCCAUUUUUAUAUGUUUCCUGUAAUGUGACUUGAAAUCAACCCGUUAACCCAAAUUAUCACUUUUUUUUCUUUUUCUUUUUCUUUUUUUGUUGGGCCAUUUUGGUCAAUUACAAGAGUUAAGUUUUCUCAUGUUGUUUUUAUGGGUUAAUUUUGGGUUAUCCCCAUAAAUUAUUGUAAAUUUUAAUUUAUCCUUCAUUUUUAAUUUUUUACUAGGAAGAUAAAAGAAUUUUCAUUAGUGGCAGCUUUGGAAGGUAUUUUAACAAUUGUCAUUUUAUGAGCGUAAAAUCCAAAAUUAAGUGCUUUUAUACCUCAGGCCUCAGCAAUGGCAUGCCAUAAUACUGUUUGAGUAAUAAAAGAGCAAAUUUAAUAUCAAGUUGAUAAGAAAUUUAAUUUGUGGUUUCGUUUCCAUGCGCGGGUGAAUAAAACUGGAUAAGCUCUUAGGAUGCAAUAAUAACAAAUAAUAUGAAUAAUGCGCUUUUUGAGAUAAAUACUGUAAGUAAAUUGAUGAAUGAAAUCAGUGUUUGGACGACUAGGCCUAAUAACUCUUCAAUCUUUAUAUUUUAAAAAAUAUCUCAACACAGUCUUAGCGUUAAAUAUGUUACAACUUUAUUAUUACUUUUUUCUUUCUUUUUACAAUAACAUCAUUGCAAUAAUCUUCCUACCUUCUUGAGAAUAUUAAAAAAAAAGAAAAUAAUAUUAAUUUAUCAAAUUAGCAUUAAAAUAACAUAAAAAUUUAUGGAAAUUUUUAUGUUAUUAUUUUACUUGGAGGAUUAAUUUUGGUAAAAUUAUUUUUUAUAUAAUAACUAUUAGUAAAAUUGUUUCAAGGAUAUUAAACAUUACUUUAAGUUAGUACAUAAAUUAUUAGCAAGAUUGUCAUACGAGUAUAAAAAAUAGUAGUUCUCUCAUAUUGAUAUUUAUUGGUUAAUUUGCUAACUAAAAUUUUUGUAGAUAAAUUAAUUACGGCCAAGAAUAUUAUUGUAAAAGAAAAGAAAAAGAAAAGAUAAGAACGUAACUUAUUUAAUUAUAAAGAUAUUUUGAGGUAUUUUUUAAAAUAUAAAGAUUAAAUAGAGUGAAAAUAUAGAGAAUAAAUACAAAUUGUUGAAUGAAAUUUUAUGUUGUUGAAUGAAAAUUUUUCUUGAACCACGUAUAAGUUAAUCAUGUUGUGCCAAGGGACUUGUAUAAAAAUAAUUUACAGAAGAAUUUGUAGGUAGUAUUACACUAAACAUAUAACAAAAAUGUUGAGGUGAGAUUACUGUAAUCCGUAUUCAGUUUCUGCCCUUCUGGCAAGAAGAUACUGAAGACAAACUCUGAUUCGAAAGUGGGCCAGAAUUUGACGCUCACCACAAGACUUCCAAGUGCACAAAGUGGCAUUGAAGUGCAAAGUUUACCAAUAGGAGUGAGGCAAUCUCACCUUAUCCACACUCCCACCACAAUCUUCUAUCACAAUUCAUCAUCAAAUCUCCAUCAUUUAUCCACAACUCACAAACACAAAAGCAAAUUAAGCCACCAUUUUGUUCUCAACUUCGUGAACUUUGUAAAACAAAAAAAAAAAUUUGCGCUGCAGCAGGAGCGAUGGCAGCCAUGAACUCUAGUGUACUCGCAUGCAACUAUGCCAUUUCAGGCAGUGCUGGAUCAUCUGAGCUCAAUGCAAAGAUUGUUUCGGUUUCAACCCCGGCUGUGCAUGGCCACAAAAUGCCU
rnacentral:lncRNA from 1 species